rnacentral:lncRNA from 1 species
UUUUUUUUUUUUUUUUUUUUUUUGCUGUAACGAUAACAUUUGUAUAAUCUAAUCUAUCAUACUCUACAGGAAGGGGGAGUCUAAAAAGACUCUAUAAGGGAUUAGCAAGUUUACAGAGUCGACUAGACUAAAAGGGUGUUCUGACAACUCCUUUAGAUAUUUUCACAACAAAUGGAGUUUGAACCCUCGACCUACAAUCUAAAGAGGGAUUUAAUCUCUUUUUUAUGGCCACUGAAUCAAAGCUCGGUGGUUUAGUGCUUGCAUUUUACUGGUUGGUGCAUUUUUAUUGGUUGGGCUUUUUUCUUUAAAAUGUCUUUUCCAAUUAAAUUGAUUCCAUAUAAUUAUCAUUAUUACUGUCAUCAUUCAUUUCCUUUUCUCAAAGAAAAAGUAUGUACUUUUCUGAUUCUUAUGAUCUUUUAAUGCUUGCCUUCUUGAGAGAGAGAGAGAGAGAGAGAGGGGGGCAAAAAAAUUACUUCUCUUAUUUGUUUCAUUUAUGACCAUUUCUUGAAAAAAAGUGACUAGACAAUAGUGAAAUUAUUUGCAACAGAUUAAUUUGUUUAAAAUUUCGAGCACCUAAGUAGGAUGUUUCGGUUCAAAACCCCUACUCACACUUAAAAAAGAAAGGUUCCGAGCACCUCUUAUUUAUUUAUUUAGUCGUGUUUUCGCUCUCAAGUCACGUCUUAAGAAGGUUUGCAUAACAUUACUCAAGUAUAAUCUCUAUAAAAUUUUUCCAUAUAUAUAUAUUUCUUGAGAAUAUGAGAAAUUAAUAUACAAAAUGGCGAAUGCAAUAACUCAUAUGUUUGGACUUUGAUGGUUACAUGUCUUGCAUAAUAAAUUCUGAAGAACAAAUGAGAAGGGGCCAACCCAUUUCUAGAAUUAGUUCUAUUAUAUAUUUAUCUAGAGGUAACAGACGAGAGGACACAUUCAAUUUCAUUUGAGGAGUGAAACUUAACAAGUCAAAAGAGAUAGAGAGAUUUGAACCAAAGACUCCUAACACUUGAGGUCUUGCAUUACUCAGAAAUAUCAAUUUGAAAAAGUUAUGUGAUGAUUUUUGGCAUACGAGUCUUGAAUUGGUAUAAUACAUAAAACAUAAUAAUGUACUACAACACUAUAUUACUUUUUAUCUACAAAAAGAAAAAGAAAAAGAAAAAGAAGUGCGUGAUUUUAUAAAAUUGUACCUCAAAAUUUGUUGCUGAGGCCGCGUCGUACGCAUGCACUCACUUUCCAUAACAAAAAAUUCGUUGCUAAAGAUAAGGUCAUUGACCAGCCAUACCCACAAAUUUUCGAGAAUUUAAUGAAUUGGAAUAUUGCAUGCCUUUACUUUUGACUACUUAUGAAUUAUGAUGUGACCAAGCAAAAGGGUCUUCUAGAAAAAUUUUAUUUUCCUAUAGUUUUUCUAAGUUAGCAUUUUUUUUCUUCUUUGGUCCUUAAUUUGCAUAGGUACCUUGCCACGGGAAGAACAUGUUUUAUGAGAUUUUUUUUUAAAAAUUCUUUAAUCUCGAAACUCCGUAAUUUACGUUGAAUUUUUUUACAUCAAUACGUCUCUCACCUUAAUGAUGCCUAGUCAACCAAGACCCAUUUUUUGCCCUACAAUCAAUGCAUCAACAUUCGUAUGCUACUAGCUGACCUAUAAACUUGGUAGAAAGCCACUAGUGUCGGAGACACAAUGUGGCAAUAGGGGUGAAUUUGGAGAUUAAAGAGCCAUAUAUAAUUAAGUGGUUUUACAAUAUGCAUGAAAUCGAUAGUUUUUUUUUUUUGUAAUUAACAUUGUUAAUUAAGAAAUAAAAUUUUGAAUAUUUAUUCCUACGUACAAUAGCUGCAAACUAAACUUAUUGAAUCAAAUAGAGUACUAUUUUUUCCGAGAACGAAGAAAAAAUAGCACAAUGAUUACACCUAUUAUACAAUGCUACAUAUAAAAGCACAAAAAUUACUUCUACGGUAUGAUGCUACAUAUGGCUAGAAGAAGAAAUUAAUAAAAAAAUAAAAUUAGAGAUGAGAAAGAACUGUGAUAUUUUUUUUAAAAGGAAAAAUCAAGCGAUGGAAGGCAACAAAGUUAAACAAAAUUCGGAGAGGGGUGACAAAUAAGGAGUUAAAAUCAAAUUUUAAAAAUUGUUAUACGUAAAACAGUAAAUUUUCAGAAGUUAGGGCGGGAAAGGGGAGGGGGAGCGCCCCUAUCCUCAGCCCCUUUUCUCGCGCCAAGAAUAAAAUUACCAUCAACCCUGAUACAAAAAAGGCCACCUACAAUCACAUAAAAAAUAUAAAUGUAAACAAAAUACAAGUACUAAGGAAUUUUAAUAUAUAUGAAAACAAAAUACAAGUACUAGCUAGGGAGAAAAAUUCUUGACUAAAUGAGGGAGAAUCUCAAAAGCAAGAUGGUGAGGACCAUUUGGGGUUCGUAACAAGGUUAGGAUGCGAAGCAAACUUACGCAAAUUAUUCCUUUCUUAAGAAAGGUGAGGCGUGGGACUCGCGCCAUGCAGACUUCUUGAAGAAGAAAAAAAAAAUGAUGGCCCAAACCCUGUAAAUGUGUUUCCACUUUAUUGAAAUGAUGAAGAGGUCCUUUUCUUUUGAAAUGAUGAAGAGCAUAUUGGAACCUUAUACUUAGUGCAAGGUUUGCCACCAUGAUUUCCACAAACCUUUCACUUUUUUUGAAAUAAAGAAAUCUACCCCCUUUUUUUUGUUUUUGUUUUUGUUUUUGUUUUUCCCCUCUCUCUCUCGACCACGGUCACAUCAUUUAGAGUUACAUGGUUGGAAAUGCAUAAUUGGAUGAAUUCGAGAUUGGUCCUUCCAGAAGGAGUUAUACUAUACACGAAGGUAUAGUUGGUCACUUCAAAAAAAAUUAUGUAUGGAAUGCCCCGAAAAGAAUGCUCCAAUAUGGUACUUUAAACUUUUUAAAUGUCUCUAUCAUGUCUGUCUGCGAAAAAGUACAAAGGUGAAUCUAGGGCUUGUCGUCGUGCAUAUGUUCAAUCAGCAGAACAUUAUCAAUCAUCAGGUACUUUUCUUAUUUUGAAAGAGUAUAAAUAAUAUAUUUAUUUAAAGCACGUGUGAACAUGACAAUAAUACUCUAUAUAAUAUUUGAUAGGCCUUAGCAUUGAUAAUAACCAAAUUGACCUUCUACUUCUGUAGUUGACUUUUUGCCUCUUAACGGGGGAAAAACAAAAAAGUUUAUAAAGAGAAAAAAAAAAAACUCACUCCUUUCCAAGAUCAUGGCAUGCCAUUAGCGUGCCAGACGAUUUAUAGUAACUCUUACAGAUCACUUUCAAAGUCGCUCAGCUAGCAAUAUAAAAUCUAAAGAACUUAAGGGAGCACUUAACUUAGAAACUACUAUUAUCAAGAUUUUAUUAUUCUUAAAGUCUUUAAAAAUAAAUCCAAGACAAAUGAAGUGUCGAUAAUUAAAAAAAAAAAUGAAUAUCAAUGAUGCUACUCCAAAAACUAAUGCACCCGCAGUAUAUUUCCUAUUGGUUCUUCGACUUUUAUGUUUGAAAAUGUAAAAAUUGGGGAAGGACUGAUGAUGAAACUAGUAGUUUCAAAUUCGAGCAUUACUAGUAGGUUGUAGGACGAGGAAACUUUUUAUAUUGGCUUUGAUUUUUCAAAGCAUGUACAUAAAUGAUGAUCUUUGUCCCACAAAAAUGCUAUAUAGUCCCUUAAGGUAGAGAUGGCAAAUGGGCGGCGGGACUUAAUUGUGAUUGCAAAAUACGGGUUAGACCCAUUUUAAUUACACCAAAAUAUUCAAUAAAUUCUAUUUUAUUUUUUUAAACUCUUUUUUUUUUCCUUAAUCAAAUGCCUCAAUAUUGCUUUUUUCUCUAAUAUCAUUGAGUCAGUUUGUUUAAACUUGUAAAAGUUUUACACUUCUCUUUAUAUAUAUACAUACAUAUACAUAUGACAAUUCUUCAAACCAAACAAAAUUUACUAGAUAUCAAAUUCAUAAAAGACCAACUCUCAUACAAAUAAAAGUACAUAGAUGUGAGCUAAUCAGUACUUUAUAUCAAUAAACGACCAGUUUUCUAGUCUAGUUUUAACAUGAGGAAGCAAAUUAACCCAAACUCCCACACACUCACAAGUACAAUAGCAGUACUUUUGUCUUUAAUUCCACCAUCAAAUACACACACAAACAACAGUGCACUAGUGCUACUAGACGCACACACUAUUGUCGACUGUUUUGGAGAAUUUGGUGGCUUUCAACUUGUAGGCAACUCAACCUAAUUAAUUAGGUUUUAGGGGGAAAGAAAGACCAUUCUAAGUUCCAACUAAGUCCUAAUUAGAUCCAUAUUUUAGAUGGAUAUAUUUCCCCCGAUUAGGUCCAGUCCCAUAUUUUACAUAUUGAUCCCGCUCAAAUUAAGUUUGGGUAUGGGAUCCGACUGGAUUUUGGGACUCAUUGCCACCUCUACUUUUGGGGUACCGGUCCCUCGGUAUAUACAAGGAUAAUAGGUUAAAUUUUAAAGUUUAGAAGUUGUUAAGGGCUGAAGUUUAAGGGGAAUUACCCUUAGGGCCCGUACUCCUUCUGUAAAGUUUCAUGGCCAACCCUCACUUAAACCCAUUACGUGGGCUAAUCCAAACCAUGCAAAGGCCAAUCCAGUCUUUUACCGAUUUCAUGUUAGUUGGACUUUUGAACGAAUUCACCAAGGCUGCUGUAAACAACUUAAGUUAUGGGUGAAAGUCCACCUUAGGAGGUUAAAAAAAAAAACAAACAAGAAAUGUAGGCCUGGGCCUGAUUCGCCUGAUACAAGAACAACCAACCAAUCAGAUAAGAGAGAAUCAAGCCAAUCAACAGAAUAAGCAUCCAAAUUACAAUAAUGCAAAUUGUGGGUGGGGAGCUGUAAAGUAGCGGUUCAUCUGGAAAAAAAAAAAUUGAAGAAUCCUUGGCUCGUGGAAGCUGUGAAAAGCAAUAAUAAUAGAUACAAAUCAAAGGCGUGAUAUCAGCCGUUGCUCAUCAAUUUAAUUGGGAAGUUUUUCUUGUCAACAUCUACAUCGACUAGGCUAAUAUAUACUUACUAUAUAAUACUCCUACUUUUUGGGAAUUUCUCCGACCUUCCACAACACAGACUCGUCUUCGUGGAUUUUGCUGUCCAGAAUUUUCCACGUAAAACAGCCAGCAUUCGAUGCCGUGAACGUUAGCUCUACGUAGGUGAAGGUGGAGACGGACACGUACCUUUCUGUUUUGGAAUUUCCACCUCUUAUUCCCCGGACCCGGCAAAAUAUGCCAUUUGCUUGCGUUCUGAAUAUUCGGCCAACUUGGCGAAUUGGCCAGUAGCCACCCCCCCCAUCGCAUCGCGUGAAGCAGAAUCGUAGAUUUCACUGCAUACAGUUAGGAGUUCAAAUCUUUAACCUUACAGUAAAAUCUAAAGUUUAAAGGAUGUAUAAUAAUGCGUCUACUUGAUUCAUUAGUAGGUUAUAUAUAGUAAGAUAAUUAAGCAUUAUGGACCUUAUUUUUGUGUGUGUGUGUGAUUACUAUGCCACUAUAAUUAGUCAAAUUAUUCCUUGUAUGAUUACAAAACUGCGCAAUUAGUCUCUAGGAAAAUAGAAGUACGAAGGGAAAAUUUUUUUUUUAGGGCAUGAACCCUACUUCAUAUAAAGAUUUUUGACCUUGAUGAAACGGCAACCACAAAUAAAAGAAGAAGAAUUUUGUUUCUCUGUGGAAAGUAGUUAAGAUUUUCCAUGCAUGUAUAUCAUGUCCGUUUCGUUGAAUUGUGAUUUUUCGCAGAAGAAUUUGUAUUAUGCACGUGUGAGGUAAUUACUCCUUAUGUCAUUAUAUAUAUAUAUAAUACUCCCUCCGUCCCUCUUUGAUAGUCCUGUAUUUUUUUUUCAUCUGUCCCAAAUUGUAGUCCACUUUUCAAUUGAAGAAUGUAGUUGUAUUUUAAUUUUUCUAAAAUACCCUUAUUCAAUGUAAGUAGUUGUUACUGUAAACCUACCUUAUUUAAUGAGAGUUGAUUCUUUUUUUAUCAUCAAUUCAAGUUCCCAUAAAGUUGUACCAUAUUUAAUAUGAGGGUAUUUUAGGAAAAUAUCAAUCUAAAUUUACUUUUCCAAUAAAAUUAAUUAUUUUUUUUAAAACUGUGUGAAAAAAGAAACAAAACUAUCAAAUUGGAAUGGAGGGAGUAUAACAUUUCUUUCCAAAAUUUUUUGAACAAUAAGAAGACAAUAAUAAGCCAAUCAGAUGCAGACACUAGGCGGCGACAAUGAUUAUAAUAAUAUUAUUAAUCAAAUCACAAAUGAGAGUCGGAUCGACAACCAUUUUUUGUCCGCAAUUUUGGAGGAGCAAUCCAAUUUACGUUUGACAAGCUGUUUUGUUUUGUUUUUUUUUCCCAAUUUCUUGUAGGGCAUUUUAGGAUGUCACAUUGUCAAGGUCCAAUCUUUUUAAUAUGUAUAAAUUUGGACAAAAAGUAGCUGUACUGAAUGACACUCCUACCGAAUCAAAAAAGGACAGAAAACGUAUUGUCAAAUAUUUGUUGGUCUUCAAAGUUCAAUCACUUCGGAAAGAAUAAGAAAAAAAAAAAAAAAAAAAGGAGUGGAGGAGGUUUCAUGUGUAGAAAUUCAAGAGCAAAGAGGAAGGCAAUCUCAACUUAAUUUCUCUCCUUCUAACUACUACAAUUAAGUUGAAAGCAAAAUAUCAGGGAAAAUAUUUUUCAACUGUUUGUGAUAUAAUUAAAUAAUAAGAAGUGCAAGAAAAGCAAUUAAGUGAUUGCAUAUUACUAGUACUAAUAACUAUUUCAUCAGCUAAGAAAAUGGGAUACCAAAUUAAAGCCCCACAAAAUACAUAUAUACCAAAUGAAAAUGAAAAAUCCGAUCUACCAAAAUUAGAUGGUAUAGACAAAAGCUCUGCAUGGUGUAGCCAUUAUUGCUACCAAAGGGGAUAUUAGGUUUUUUUUUUUCCUUUUUUGUAAAAUAUAAAAAAGACUUUUAUUGGGUUCAUCCCACCGGUCACCGCGAGAAAAUCUACCGUACACCGACAUUGCCAGCCUAUCAAAGCUGCCAAUCGAUGCUGCCUGUUAGUCGGACGGGGCACGUGACUCACCAAUUUUCUCAACGUGCACGUGAGGUUACGGCCACCUUAAGUAUUUUUUUUUUAAAAAUUAUUUGUGUAUUCCCAUUUUUUGUCAAUUGCACUUUCAUUAUUAUAAUUUUUAUUUAUUAGAAUGUAUGAUAAAAUAAAUGAUAAGAGUGUAAUUAAUAAAAAAUUGAGUACAAAUAAUAUUUUCCUUAUUUUAUCAUAACAUUAUUGUUACACCAUCCUCUCAUGACAUGACCAAAUUUACCCUUCACUUCAAGGACAUGGAAAAUUGAUUUCAUUUCCAAUCCCAAUUUUUAAAGUUUGACUUAAUUCGCAGCCCAAUAAAUGUUCUAAAACUUGCUUCCUUUUUUUUGGGGUGUGAAUUCGAAGCUCUAACAAUGAGUUUGGAUUUAAGAAUAUUUUGAAAAAACUUUUUUAUAUAUAUAUUAUAACACAUUAAUGUAAUGUUUGUGAGAUGAAAAUGUGAUUGGAAAAAAACAAUUUAGAGAACCUCUAAUUUUUAUUAACAAAUAAAUACCUAUCCAAACAUGUUGAUGUUAGUUAACAAUUUUAAAUUUGGUUAACUAAACAAAUUCCAAUAAAUUCACUCUUUUUAUAAUUCUAUAGGAUCACUUAAAAAAUCGUCUAAUAUGAAAAACAUUGAAACAUACGAAAAAUUACUUGUAAGUUAUAGUAAUAUCAUAGAUACUGUAAUUUUAAAAUUUACAUUCAUACAUACAUAAAAUCAAGCUCUAAAAUCAUUAGUUUAGGGUUUUAAAAAUUCACUAAGUUUAUACUUUGGCAAACACGGAGGCAGCAUCCGACCAGAAGCCUUAACUAAAGGCCAAGCCGGUCAUUUGACGCAAACCACCUUCAAAAGGCUCAAAUCCUGCAAUUGAAAAAAAAUAAAAAUAAAAAAAGCGGAGACUCUGGAAGCCGAUUAUAGCGUGCGCAGAUACCUCAGAGGCUCACACCUCAGCGGAGCCACCAGCAGCUGCUGCCCUUUUCCAUUGUGGCCCCCAGCACCACGGACAACAAGAUGCACUCCUCUUUUACUUUUCCGCUCCUCUAAGGCGCCGUCACCAAACCCCCCAAGCCCAGCCCCCCGCCUCCGAUAAAACCCAACACAGCUCAUACGCAAUAGUAACCAUUUCUUCAGUAUCUUGUCCCCAUUGCCGAUGGGUGCGUUGGUUCGUCUAGCCGUCGUCCGGAGUACAUCUUACCACAAAUAAAGCAGGCUAGUAGGGAAAUCGUAUCGAAUAAUAUUCCGGUGAUGCUCAGUGCACUAUGUGCUCGCCCUAAAUCUUGGCUAUUCACUGCCUUAUUCUUGUCACAUGCCCACAGCUCGGCAGCGGCUCUUGUUCACAAUCGGCUCAUUGGCAGCCCUCUUUUGAAAUCCGUAGUGGUUGCCAACGCCGAUCAAAGGAGACACCACUCCAGUAGUUGUCGUCUCGUCGACACCUCCGCUCAGGGUGGCGCUGCGUCUAUAUGGCAUGCAAUCCUUCCCGCCGGUGACGGGGAUUUGGAUCUCCACCGAACCAAGAGGAAUGUGCUCGUCCACCACCACGAUGAAUUGAUGAAUAAAGGUUAAGGCUCGUGGAAUGUGGCUUGGGAUGCCAGGCCGGCGCGCUGGCUUCACAAUCGUGAUUCUGCGUGGUUAUUGUUUGGAGUUUGCGCUUGCUUAGCCGCGCCCCCAUUGCCGCUGUUAGCGGAUUCAUCUGAGUUCGUCGAUGGGGAAACGGAUGAAUUCAGACAUGAAGCAGCAGCAAUGACCGUUGUAGAAAAUGGAAAGUGUGCCAACUUUAGAGUUACAGGUAUUUUAGUUGGAGCGGCUAAUUUUUAGUUAUAUAAAGUUUGAUGAAGUUUGAAUAGAUGAUAUUAAUUUGAGAUUAAUUUUCCAUUAUAUGCAAUCCAGAUUACGUAUUCUAUUACUACUCUUAUCACUUUUAGAGUUACACGUAUUUUAGUUGGAGAAGCUGAUUUCUAGUUAUAUGGAGUUUGAUCAGAUUAAUUUUCGAUUAUAUGCAAUCCAUAUUUCGAACUCUGAUGACAAAUCUAGCAUUAUUCCAUCACUGUUGUUUGUUGUUGCUGUGAUGGAAUGAUUGUAAUGGAUUAAUUUUCGAUUAUAUGCAAUCCAGAUUUUGAAUUCCGAGCUAUGAUCACCAACCUUAUUACUACUCUAUCAUUGGAAGAAUAGAAAUCCGUUUUUUGUUGUAAUGCAAUGAUUGUGAUGGAAUGAUUGCAUGGAGACAGGGGUGCCAGCAGAUGGGAGAUGUCUGUUUAGAGCAAUAGCUCACGUGGCAUGGUUGAGAAAAGGGGAGAGUGUUCCUGAUGAAAACCGCCAAAGGGAACUCGCUGAUGAAUUAAGAGCUCUAGUAUAAUCUAACAGCUUCAUUUCUUUAUGUUUCUUUUUUUUUUUGGCUGAAUUUGCCUUUGCUUUUGAACAAUUUGCUGAAUUUUUUUUUCCGGGCCGUAGGUUGUUGAGGAGUUGUUAAAGAGGCGAAAAGAUGCAGAAUGGUGAGUGUUCUUAAGUUUUUUAAUUAUUAUUUAGUUAUGUAUGGAGAGUUUGGAUGCUAUGCUUGUAUGAUAUAUUUUGGUUCUGUUCUUAAGGUUUAUUGAAGGAGAUUUUGAUGCAUAUGUGGAAAGAAUUGAAAAACCUUAUGUAUGGGGCGGGGAACCAGAAUUGCUAAUGGCUUCUCAUGUUCUCAAGUGAGUGCUUUUUCACUUUAUCUCUUUUCAUAGUCUUAAUUUUUGCUCAUACUGUUUUACCGUUUGCUUUGGUUCCCUUAUUCUCCGUAUCCAACUUUGGUCUUUGGUCUUUGGUCUUUGGUGGUUGGUAGGGUGUUUGUAACAUUUGAGCAUUAAGAGCAACAAAUUUAGAACUAGUAGGAGUAGGUAAACUCGUAAAGUUGGUUGGUGAUUAUUAAAGACUGUGUGGCUAGUUGUUUUCUUUUCUAAAUACCUAUUUAGGAAUUAUGGCAAAAGGAAAGCUUAUAUUUGACUAAGUGACUGUUCACCUACGCCAAGAUUGUCUAUAUUUUUGAGUUCAGUAUAGUGCAAGGACCAUUUCAUGUGAAAGAUUUAUGGAUAUCUUUUCUUGCAACAUAGGGCAUAUAUGCUUUGUUGAUAUUGUAGCAUGAUAGGUUUUUAAAUACUCAAAUUUCUUGUGGAUUAUUGAAAUUUUACUCUCUCUUUAUCAUCACAGGGCGCCAAUUUCUGUGUUUAUGAUUGAUAGAAGCUCUGGUAAUUUAAUAAAUAUAGCAAAGUAUGGUGAAGAGUAUAAGAAAGAUGAAGAGAGUCCAAUUAACAUUCUAUUUCAUGGAUAUGGACAUUAUGACAUAGUGGAUGUUGUCUCUGAAGGUUACCAGAAAGUAGAAGGAGGGAUAUCAGAGAGUAGAAGCAGCCUAGAAGCUUGACAUAAAACAUACAAUAAAGUCUUUCACAUAUUUAUCAAGAAUAAAGAAUAUAUUUCCCGCAAGUGUUCCAAAAAUUCCUUUCGGGAUACAAGGAAAAGAUGCUUCUAUCCAUCUCCUACCCAUCUCUUCAAGCCCAUGCUGAAAUGACUUUAUUCAAGCAUUAGAAUUAUUUUCAAUUUUGUAGAUUCUGUAGUCUAUUUGUUUUCUCUUAGUUUCAAUUGUUAUUGAGCAAACGUUAACAAUUUCCGAGUGCAACUGUCUGAGCAAGCAGGGAAUGCGAUCUACUUAAACAUGUGGGAAUUUUGAAGUUACCAUCUGUUUUAAUAUGCUAAACCAACUGAUCAUUCGUACUAGCUGGCAUGUUACUCUUUGACUGGUAAACGAGAGAGUGUAUUUCGUUACUUGCUGUUUUAAACCACUAAAUAACUGGCAGCAUGCCAGCGAUGAGAUAAUCUUAAGUUGAGAUCAGAGGGUUGGUUUUGUCAUUAACCUUAUAGAACCGUUUUUGCUUUGUUUAGCUUCUGAUUGAUAUUUUUUUUCCCAGUAGUUAUUAGCACACGGUAUAAAAUUGCUCGAAUGGAAAAUGUAGGGUAUCCAUGCAUCAUCUGAGUGCAAGCAGUAACGCUAAUCUCUUGGGGUGAAGAUCUUAAACUUGACUUCAAAAUCUCUUGAGUUGCGAACUGAUCCCAAUUGCCAUUUGUAAAUCAGUAUCCUAGAAACUGGAAACUCAGGGCAUGUCACCAGUGCAAUGGGGGGGAGUUACAUUUGGUCCCUCACGUUUUGUGUUACUACUUAAUUAGUAUUUACUUUGGUUUUUGGGGCCUUCGUGGGCGAGUGAGCACUUCCAUGCUGCCUACCUUUCUUAAAUCAUUGUGAUUGAACAGUCUGAAUAUCGAAAGAUUAGAAUGACCUCUUUAAGUGGUGAAAUAUUCCCAAAUUAGGUGGGGGCAUAUUCUCUUUCGCUUCUGACGUGCUGCUUAUCCUAUUUAAAAACCUUGGAAUCUUUCUUUUCCUUCAUUUUAAAAACCUUAAGAUGCUAUCUAUAUGAGCGCUUUUACUCGUCUGAAUGGACCUCGAGGCAAGCGCAAAUCUGCAAUCAGUGAAAAAAUGUACUUUCUGGGUGCCAUUUGCUGGGAAUCGAUAUUAUUCGCACUUCUAUUUUAGCUUCUGGCAUUUUAAUUCACUCCAUAAACGAAUAAUGUACCUCCAAGGAGCGCAAAUGUCACUUCCCUACUUGCUUCCCUGAAGUUAAAAUUUGAUGAUACAAUUUAUCACAUAUAACCAGUGCGGUUUCGAACCAAAAAUCAUAAAGGCAAGUGGCACUUUCCACGAUUUUGCUGAAACAAUAUGCUUCAUUGAAAUUAUAAUAAGUAAACGCCUAUGGUAGCAGCUUCUCAAUUUUCCCUAUUAACAUGUUUCCUCUUCCUUCUGUUUCAAGAAUGAGGAGCAAGAGAGACGGAGAGGGUACCAUACCAAGUUAGCGUUCAAUUGCAGUACAUUUCUUUAGACGGCCAAAGUGAAUAAGUAAUGGCGAUUGUGAUUUUAUAAUCCAGGUCUAUUAGCAAGUUGCAUGGGAAAGUGCGGAUAAAGUAUUCUCUGGAAAUGCUCGUUGACAACCAAAAAAGAACUAAGCAGCCACUCUAUUAUUUGACUUCAGAGGCUGCAAAAUAAAAUGGUACAGAUGUGUCCUUUGGACAAUCCAAAAGAUUCUUUCCAGGCUGCAAGAGUUUUUUUAGUAAGAACUAGGGACAAAGGUGCCAACGUACCCGAAUCCUGCUGUGAAAAAUGCCGUUGAUUGAAGGAAAAGGUAUAUAAAGAAGUGGCUCUUUCCAAAAGCCACAUCAUAACACCCACAAAAGAAUAGGUAAAACCCAACAAAGAGCUCCAAAAGAUGUAAUCUGCAAAUUCAACCACAAUAUAAAACUUGAAUCCAUGUCGUAUUUUGAAUAGAAAGCCACGUUGCAUAUCGCUAAACAAUUCGUGCGAAUGGUAGACUAUUUUUCAAUUCUUCUUGCUGCUGACAGUACAUGAAAGUUAUACAUGAUCUUUUUUUUGCUUUUGUAUUGUUGCCUAGAGUAUAGUUUUGUGCGAUGAACUGAAGGGUUGUAUGUACUUGUACCUGUCUCCCAUCCUGAAACGAGGUUUCUUGGGAACCUUAGAGCCCAACUUCGUCUGUAGGACAUGUCCCAAUUUUUCCGUGACAAUCCACUCGUUAACUCUCCCUGCCUCAAGUAGACCUAUGAAUGUGGCCUUGGUUCGGUGCAGAGACAUUACGUUUUCAAAGAGGAUCCAGAAAAUUACUAGGUGGAAUGAUCUGCAGAGCAUGACGCAGCAAAAACAUGUUACCGUAUAUGGCAUUAUUAAUUAAAGAAUUAGUAAGAUUCUUUAGGCAUGCAGGUAGAAUAAAGAAAGAGGGAGAGACCUUGGUGUCCCAACUGCAUUCAGAAGGGUAAUUACAGACGGAAUAUAAACAGCUCCCCAAACCGGAACUUGUACUUCGGGAAUCACAAUAGUUGCAGGCAGGACAACGCAGUAGAAGAUGAACGUGACCAUAUGUGCUACUAUCUUCCGAACAAGGAAGAAACUGUAUAUUAGAUAAAACUUCUUCCAUGGAGAGACUUUCUGCAUUAACGGAACAUGAAUUGUCAAGAGCGGCGUUGAUUUUUAAUCAUCAUUCUCACCCCUAAAUGAAGAUAAAAACAGUUGCCUUAACCUUGCAUCUAACUAUUUCCAUAGCCAUUUUCCUGAACAGAUUAGCAGGACCGCAGGACCAUCGAUGUUGCUGGUGCCGGUAUGCUUUGAAAGUACUUGGCAAUUCAUUCUUCACCUGAUUGGGAACCGCACAAACAGAAUAUCAGGCACCCUAUAAUGCAAAAUUUAAGGGAAUUUGGGUUUUGAUCUUUACAUAAUGGACGAGCCAAAUUAGUCUGUUGCAGUUUACACUUCAAACGUACGGUCCAUUUUUUUUUUUGAACUGUACCUCGACUUCACCAACAUACACAAAUUUCCAGCCUUUGAGACCGGCUCGGAUAGCCAGGUCCAUAUCCUCCACAGUUGUUCUGUCCUUCCACCCUCCAGCUUCAUUAAGUGCUGAAAUUCGCCAUACGCCAGCGGUUCCUACAUGACGAUCAAAUGUUCGAGAUUGUAAAAUAGUUUGACACAUUAAUGUUAGAGCUAGAAGUCGAGAAAAGGUCCUACCAUUAAAACCAAAAAAAGCGUAAGUGCGGGAUCCAACUUCUUGCUCCACAAUGAAAUGGUAAUUAAGAGACAUCUCUUGCAUUCUUGUCAUCAAGCAUUCAUCAGAAUUCACUGCAAUUAAAGCCAGAAAUUUAUAGUUACAGUAUAGGAAACUUCAAUCUACAGCUUAAAUUGAAGGGCAAGUGAGUGUAAUCUGCAGAACCAAAGGAAGUUACCGAAUUUCCAGCGGGUUUGAACCAGAGCUAACUCAGGAUUAUGCACGAGAAAAGGAACGGUACGACGCAAGAAAUUAUGCUCAGGUUGAAAAUCAGCAUCAAAGAUGGCGACAUAGUCACAUAGCUUCACAUAGCUAUGCUUCAUUCCUUCCCUAAGAGCACCAGCUUUAUAGCCGUUGCGGUUCUCUCUAAUCUCAUACUUUAUGUUUAUGCCUUUGCUUGCCCAUCUCUUGCACUCCUGCUCCUUUAAGGCCUGUAAUUUUCAAUUAACCCAAGUCCAUCUCAAUUUGCACUUUGCAGCAGAAAAAAAAAGGAAUAAGAAUUUGGGUAGACCUGGUCUACUAGACCUAGCGGAUCAAAUUUUGCCACAUAUUCAAGUCUUUGUAGGUUGGUAAGAUAGUGUGCUAAAUUCUGAGCUAUUGGGUCUACGGAAACUGGGUCUACCCUAAUUUUUGCCAAAAAAAAAAAAAAAGAACCUCAAAGUUUCCGAAGCGUAUUUUUUGAUGAUUAAAUGCUAUGCAAAGCUGAUGGGUUUUCAAAAUUGGUAGUACUUUGGGGACCUGUGGCAUGAAUCGAAUAUAAAACACAAAAAAACCAGGAUGCUGAUCGAGCUAAAAAAUAGCAAAAGUAAUAUCUAAAUGAUCGAAGUGAGCAUCUUUAAAUGGCAAAACAAAGAAGGGUAAAGUCAAUUAGUAGUUUUUUUUUUCUAAAAAGAACAAACAAAAAGAAAAAGUUGUAUACCUUUAUUAGUGAGGUGAUUAAGUUAGAAAACCAUUUUUCAGGUAUUCGAUUGGCGAUGCAUGAAAAAAAGUUUUUCCGGUGGACUUUUUGGAAUUUCAGAGUGUGAAAGUGGAAUUCUGCAGCUACUAUUUGAAAAGAGGAACGAACACAUUUAACAUUUCUAUGAUCUAUCUCUCGCAUAAUCAAGGAAGCAGAGUGAACCUCGGAAGUUCCACUUUGACAUCUUUUUGUUUUAGCUACCCCGGAAAGCUACAUUUUUUACGUCCUCAUAUAUUCAGAGAAAUUAUUUGAUUGAUAAAAGUUGGUUUUGCAAGGUGUUGAACCUUGAUAGCAGGAUCCGUUGAAUCAUCAAGAACUUGAAUUAUGAUUCGAUCAGUCGGCCAUGAUAAGCCGCAAGCAGCACCAAUUGACAGCUGAUACACCUAAACGUAAAACAAAUGUUGCAGCACUCGAGGAUAUGAGCAUUAUGAGUAAUAAACACGUCUGAUAAAUAAAUAAGGCAUCAAAAUUGCUGAUAUAUAUAGCAUUCACGAAGUUACUACUACUAUGAUAAGAAAAAAAGAGCAGUACGUACCUCUUUUUCAUUGCACAUUGGAAUUUGCACUAAAACCAUGGGGUAACCUAAAUUUCCCAUCUCCAAAUCUUCCUUCAUUGGCUCCCAUUUGUGCUUCUUCUCAGGUUUCCACCUGAAUAUCUUUAUCAAAACUACGACGAUUCCCAUAUAAACUCUUUCCACGAAUAACAGUAUCGACAUUGUCAGGCACAAAAAGACCAUCAUUUUCAAAAAUGGCACCAACAAUGCUGCUUUCGCCUGCUGCCAUAGACGUCCAAGAAGGCCGAUAACAUCACCCGGGCCACCCUGGAAGGCCUCAGGUGGAAUCACAGCCCCGGAUGAAAGGCUCUCCAUUUCUUGAUCUUAUUUUGUAAAUAGCCAAUAAUAGUCCGCCGGAAGAUUAAGCAGAGGCAGCAGCAGUAGUAUCGCACUACUGCAAAGUCAGUUGAGCGGACACCGGAGCAGUGCAGCACUGGGGCUGCAGCAUGGAAUAUAAAGAAGUGCGAUAUCUAAUGCACGUGCUUUUUGAUUGAGUGUUGCUUCGCGAGAACAACACGAAUGUGCAAAGGCAAUUCUUGCUUCGGUUUGGGAAACCUUUGAUUUUUGCUUCGGAGUUACUCCAUGCCAGAUGGUGAUAGCUAGCUAGCAGUUUUAUCAAAAUCUUGCAGGUUAGAAAGCAGGGUCAAGAUGUAUAGCAUAAUCAGUGGAAGGAUCAAAUCAAACAUGAAAAGCUUUAGCUUAGUUGGUUCUUUCUUUUAAACAAUAAUGCUUCCAUGAUAGGCUUAAAUAGAACCUAAUGUUCAUGGUGCAGCGGAAGGCUAAAUGAAAAAAGGGAGGAGGGGGCGGGGGGCUUUCAUGGACCAACAAAAUCUCGAUUCUUAGGUUUGGCAUUAUUAGUCAAAUUUGCCACCUUUUACUUCAUUCCCUGGUCUAUUAGCUUUCCCAGAGAACUUUAAGAACAGCCAUUAGUAUCAGAGUCACAGUAUGGGGUUUAUGUUAUUCCUUUAUAUAUUAACACAAUUGGGCGCGACAGUAACCACUGGCUCGAAUACCAGCAGCACAACCCCUGAUCAAUUCCCAUGUACUACCUCAUUGUGUAUCUGGGGCCGAAAGGCUGUAAUACCUCCCAGUAAAAAAUAAAUAAAUAAAUAAAAUUACUGGCUCAAAUGGCACGAGUAAUUGUACCAUUAAUUGUUGGCAAGUCAGAAGCAUAUUAAUAUGAUACUAUAAGUUUAUUGGAGGCUUAUCAAGUUAUCUUAUCACGAGUUCCCUGCCCAACUUUAAUCCCAGUGAUCUUUUUUAAUGAUAACUCUCCAAAAAGAGUCGAUAAAACUACUUGACACAGUACGAUGAUAAGUAGUAGUUUAACCACCACUUUCAACCUCUUAGUUAAUUUGUUGAAUACAUUUGUUUGGGCGUACGGUGUUUACUUCUAAGGUACAUUCAUUAGUUUCUUUUUUUUGUUCCUUUUCUUCGUGUGUGUGGGGGAGUAUGCGUACUUGAAAUUUUUAUAAGAGCGUUACUAGUUUCUAAUCUUCUUUUGAUAGAAUUGUUCUCAACAAAUGGAGCAAACUUACAAAUGAAAGGAGUGUGUUGCAAGUUUUAUCAACUCACUAGUGCUAAGUAGUUAAACAAUUAAAAUCACAAGUUGCUAAUAAUUUCAAUUCUUUUCUAUUUUAGGCAAAUUUAAAAUUUUUAUCUUCUUUGGAUUGCAAUUUUUUUGAGCUUUGCAGAGUUUUUGUAUAAAACUACAAAAACUGUAAUGUAACGAUGUGAUAUAUGUGAGGUAAAAAUGUGUUAAAAAAAUGUGUAAAGAACUAUGCAUUAGAAAUUAAGAAAUUUAUCCACAAAAAGUACCUACUUAAAAAGAGACGGGAAAAAACUCUGUACACUCUUAAUCAAAAAUUGAAAAUGGGAACCCUAUUCAAUUGCAAUUUCAAUUGUUAAUUACUUAGCCUUGGUUAUUUUAAUUGAGAGGUCAUUCAGCCUUUUUGAAAUCUCUAUUCUGUACAAAUCCACUCAGCCUUUGUAAAAAUAUAUAUACAAAAAAAAAGGGCGAUUUGCAAUUCAUAACCUUGAAUUAGCCCUAUAUAUUAGGGGAAAAGUUAUACAGAACAAAGAAAGAAAGGAGCUACAUGACAACACUCUUCGUUCAUAAACCUCGUUUUGGAACUCUCAAGUUGUUAAGCACAACCUAGAAAUCUUUGGUUCAUAUCCAAAAGAUACCACGUCUAAAUACAAAAUAGAUCUGGAUCGUAUCAAACGUUUUAUCCUUUUUCUUUUUUUUUUUUUCCCUUUUCCCAUUUUUAAUUUGAUAGCUUGAAGUUCAUGGGGAUAAUUCAAAAGCAAAAUACAAACAAUUCACACCAAGAUAAAUCUCGUAAGAAAUUAAUUUCUUAAUUAUAAGGUUGUCCAAAUCGGACAAUUACCUUACCCUAAUAUAUUCAUGCAAACUCCGAAUAAAGGUGCAAACAACCGUAGGAAACGAACAAAAUAACCCCACUCGAGGUUGAGAAGUAACCCUUGUGCUUCUUUUGGAGUCGUAGAAACAAAGAAACAGAGCCUGCAGCACAGCAGGUAGUCCAAACUCCACCUAGAAAAGUAAAAGUAAUUAGCAGUCGGCCGGUAUCAUUAUAAUCAGAAGGUUCUUCAAUGAUGAAAGUACUAAAAGAGAGUACUUAUACCUAGAGCUAAAAGAUGAAUAAACCUAAUCGAAACUCGUAUUGACCUUCGCCUGGUAAGACUUCGUUUGAGCUUGAUUCUCUGACUAUUCAAAUCAAAUUUGAACAAUAUUUUAUGUUCGAUAACUUUCAAAUUUGAUAAAAAAAAAAAUUUUGUUCAAACUCGAUUUUGCAACUAAACAAGUCAAAGUUGAACAAAAUUUGAAAUUUAUUAAAACAAUCAAAUAAACUUGAACACUAAGAUAUUCGAUUUAAUUAGACUCAUUUACACCCCUACUUAUGUCAUAGUUUUGAUAAUUGGAGGAUACCGAAAAAUAUAAUAGUUUUUGGUGAUUCUGAUUAUUUUCUAUGAUUGCUUUCCAUAAUCAAAUUUUGUAAGAUCUAAAGCACAUGAUAACCAGGCCAUUGCCAUUUGUAAAAUGUACAGGUAUUGGAGACGUGUUCAUUUAAAAAAAAAAGGUAUCCUUUUCCCCAAAAUAGAAGAAAAAAGGAAAUCAUAAACUUUUGUGAGUAUGUAUUUAAAUAUUUAAAAUAGCAUUUCUCAAAAUGUAACACUUUGAAAAGUAUUUUUUUCUCCUGCUCCCUCAUUUCUUCUAUUUUACAUAUAAUAGUUUUUUGCUAAAUUAUUGUAAAUCAAACUGAAGAAAAGGUUAUUCUUAAAAAAAAAAAAAAGUGAAGAAAAGUUUAUCAUAACCGAUUUGCCAUUGUGAAUAUUACAUCAUAACAUGAUUCAGCAUCGAGAUAUUGACCAGCUGUUUUGAUGGAGCUAUCAUUAAUUAACUAUAUAGUAUGAUGAUUAGUUUCAAAAUCAAAAUAUGAUUUUUAUAGUGCAUCCAUUAGAGCAGUCUUGUAAAUCAAAUAAUCAAAUCGCAUUGAACAAUUUUCAACUGUCUAUUAAUAUACUUUUCUUUUUAUUUCCAAAAAAAUAAAUAUUUUGUCACCACGGGGAAAUCGUAAAUCCGGACCACAUGGACCACGGGCAUCGUAUGACCCUUCUGAUUCAGGGCAGGUUGAAACUCAUCAGCAACAUGGGCAUAUGAUUUCCCACCAACAACCGUAAACAACACACACACAGAACCUAAGCCAAAUUUACAAUCCAAUUCAAAAGGCAUGUUGACUUUCGGAUUACACUGAGGAACUUAAGUUCUACACACACACAUCACUCACAAUCGAUAUGGGAUAAAGGGAAAGGGGGAGGGGAAACACCAAGACUAUUGUCAAAGGCUCAUCAAUGGCUUUUAUCACUCCAUGAUUUUUCUUAUCUACCAACAACCGUAAACAACACACACCCAGAACUUAAGCCAAAUCCACAAUCCAAUCCAAAAGGCAUGCUAAUUUUCGAAUUACACUGAAAAACUUAACUUCUACACACAUACAUCACCCACAGUCGAUGUUGGAUAGAGGGAAAGGGGAGGGGAUAGGCUCACAGUCGAUGAUUUCCCAUUGAACGCUUUUUGAUGCAACAAGUCAAAUACUGAGCGGGCUAAAAAUCAACACAAAAUAAUCUAUUGAAUAAUAUUAGAAUGCAAAUUUGUCGUUUUGCAUUGUUCUACAUCAAGUCUUACCACGUAGUCUUUUGUAUCCUAGGCGUGUGUUUGGUAGCAACUUUUCCCCAAAUAAUUGUUUUGCUUACCUCACAAUUAUAAUUUUCAAGCGAUUUUUUUAUUUUACAUGUAUCAUAUUACAAAAAAUGCAAAAUAAUUAUUUCAAAUAGUUUCUCUAUCGAUCUAGAGCUUUUGAAUUUUGACCCUAUAUAUAUAUAUAUAUAUAUAUAUAUAUAUAUAUUUGUAUUUUUUGUUGCUUGACAAUCACGAAGGAUGUUCAGCGAUAUUCUCAUAAUUCAAAGGGUAAGUAAAUGUCAUCGACCUUUAGUAAUUUCUAGAAUACCAAUGAUCACGACUAGAGUAACGCAUUCAAAGCCUUCUAUACCUUUUCAAGUAUCCACGACACUAACAAGUCCUAUUCUACUACAUUUUUUAAUUUUUUUUGUCAUAUCAUUACUUAUUUAUUUAUUUAUUUUGUAGAAAGAGAUACUCCAGACUUUACAAUGAGAGAGGGGGAAAAGACAGAGUUUAAAAGUCGAACUAAAGAUGUUACUAUCACCUGACCACAAUCAAACUGAGUGUAAAAAGACAAAUCACUUGUUUAAAUAUUAACAAGUGAAGUAUUCAUAUAAAGUAUUCCAUCACUUUCGUAUCAAUUUCUAAACAUUACCUCAGCGUUUGCUACAAAUAUGGCUGUGUUAGUAUUAGUAUUACAUGUUAGCAAACAAACGGUAAGUCUUGGCAUCCAAAAUUAUCUGCCUCACCGAUGCAACUGCCCCAACCAAGGCCAAAACUGUGGAUAAAACUGCAAUAAUUGUGUUUCCCCAGUAGACCAAGCCCUUCCUUGAGGGUUUGAACGUGAGGUUAUAGAAAACCAUUGGCAAAAUGAAAUCCAAAGGAAUGCAACCGAAGGCCCCAAACAAUGCCAUAAUGUCUCCAAAGAAAGGUAGCAUUGCGGCCAAGGUUGUUGCUAGGACGAUGGAUAAUGACCGGAAUAUCAGACGGGGAACAACAUUCCUGAUCGAGAAUUGGUCUUUCUUAGGAUCUGCAAAUGCUCGCUCUAUAACAACAUUUGUUGGUUGCAUGUAAACCUAGAAUCACAUAAUGUCAUCAAGGUUAAUUGGCUAAACAUAUCAACAAGGUUUACUUGGAGUUCCAGCGCUAUCUUCGCCAUUUUGGUGAAUAAAGUAGUCAUGAAUUUGGUAUGUAAUGUGACAUGAUAUAACAUGAAUGCGUCUUACCAAGACAACUGCUGAUACUUGCACUAAGGUGAAGACAUUGGUCAUCAGAAGAAACCCCUUAGGCAGUAAAGGAUGGUUAUUGACCAUGAAAUUUGAGAGAACAGAUUGUCGAGACUGAUUUCCAAAUGCCCAGUAUCCAGAAAUUGCAACACUGAAGAAUGUGGAAAUCACAACUGCAUAGCAAACCAACAACCCUUUAAACAUUUUCCCCGUCACUGGAGGGGCUAUAGUGGCCUGCAAAAAAAAAAAGAAUAAGGAAUAAAAAAUCACAAGCUAGCAUUUGAGGGAUAUUUAAUACUCCACUGCACUAACUUGGUCAGCAUGAAGAAGAAACAAUUGUUAUGAGUAAAAACUUGCCUGAAUUUCAGGUAUAAUUCCAUUGCCAUAUGUUGUGGCAAUAAUUGAAAAAGCGUUGAAGGCACCAAAGACUCUAUUCAUACCAACUCCAGUGAUUGAGUAGUCCCUUGAAGGAGCAUUUUUAGAGUAUCCUGCACUUGGAAAUGCCAGAAAGUUGAUGAUGUUUGGGGGAAAAGGGCAAAUGAAAGAAAAGAAAAUAAACACCAUGGCUGUGAUUCUUGAAUAAUUACCUACCUACAUAUAUGGCUCCUGCAGUGGUGCAAGCGCAGUAAGCAAGACAAAGAAGCAAGGAGAUGAGAUUGAUAUGCCUCAAUGAAUGAAAUGAUGGCAUUUGGGCCAUUACCAAUGUUAAGCCUCCGAAAAUAACAACGAAAUGGUACAGUUCCAUGGUCCCGUUUGGUCUGGCCACCAAGUAAAUAUACUGCAAAACAACACCAGGCAAAAAGAGGGUUUGAAGCUUCGCGUCUAACUUUUCUAGAUUUAAACGAGAUGAAACGGUACAAGUAUAACCAUAUGUGGCCUAAAUUAGAUAAAUCUUCAUAUUUCUAAUUUUUUUUCAAUUGAUUAAUUGUGGUUAAAUGUACCUCUUCAAAUCAAGUAAUUAAGCAUAAGAAUAAAUCAUUUAAGCACUGACAAUAUAUACAUUAAUCUGUAAGAUUUAGCAGUCAAAUUCAAAGCGAAUAAUAUGACAUAAUAAAAAUUUAGGUCCGUCAAUAUAUAUAUUGACUGAUUGGCCGUGUAGUAAGGUACUACAGUACUAUUUUGUAGCAUUAGUUCAAUUGGAGUUUCUUUUCCUUCAUGCAGUUAGAAAAUUUUUUUUUUUUUUAACAGUAUAUUAAAUAGUUUUCUUACCUUUAAGCUCUGUCCACCCAGAAGUGUACAUGCAAUGACAGCCCCAUAACAAAUGCCCAAUUGAAGUGGGCCAACGAAAUACCGACCCCAUCCCGGCCCUGUAUACAUCAAAUUCAUCAAUUUCAAAGUAAGCCUACGUAAUUAAAGUUUGAACUGUCUAAUAUGGCUGCCCGGCGCUUAUUGUUUUCUUUCGGCCUUGUCUGAACUUCACUUGCUUAAUUAUUGUUAUUUGAUACUGACUGUUAUUGUUGUCUGCUUUUGACUUUAUUUGAAUUCCACUUGCUGUAGCUUGUUGCAGUUGUAGAGACUAGAGAGAGCAUCUUUCACACUCGCAUCAAAAGCGAACCUGAUGAAAGUUUGAACUUUCUAACAUUGGCUUUGUUCUCGUUUAUUUUAGAUUUUAUGAAAUCUGAUUAUGGAUAAUAAUUAAAACUAACAAAAGUUAUUCUUUGAGUGGUUAUAUAGAUUUUAAUUUUUUGAUCAUUAAGAAAAUCUAUAAUCAAAAUACAAAAAAGAAAAAUUGCAAUUUUUCCACCGACGUCGAGAGCUUCUCAAGCUGAAAAACAUACCAUUUUCCACCGCAACGGAUCUUCUGUCCCACACCCUGUGCCACUCUCUGUUUCACUUUUUAUUAUAUUGCUAUCUCUCCUUCAUAAACAUCAUGUUUUAAUUCUUUUUUGUUUCCUUAAGAUCCAAUAACUAUUAAUUCAGUAAUACACAAAAUUUAACAAACUCAAAAAAUCAAAAUGCAUAAAAAAAAUGAGAUUUUUUAUGAAUUUUCUGCUGUAUUUUUUAUUUUUCUAUUACAUAUUGCUUUUUUGAAGCUGUUGUAUUUCUUUAUUACUGAAUUAAUAGUUAUUGGAUUUUAAGGAAAUAAAAAGAACUAAAACAUGAUGUUUAUGAAGGAGAAAUAACAAUAUAAUAAAAAGUGGGACAGAGAGUGACACAGGAUGUGAGACAGAAGAUCCGUUGUGAUUUUUCACCAAAGAAAUUAGAAUGACAAAAAUUUGACCUUCCACUAAAAAAAAUAUUUCAGCAUAAUAAUGGAAGAUUUUUCUAUUUUUCUCCCAGAAAAAUGUAAUGGGACACGUAAUCCAACCACAAUGAAAGGCGAAAAUUUUUCGGCUGGUCUAAAUUCGAGACUAUUAUAUGAUCCUUCACAUUUUGGAUAUCUUUUCGUAGAAAGCUGGACAUUUUCACACCUUUUGAUGAGUAGAAUUACAUACCUAAAACAUCAUGAGCCAUGUCCCUGAAACGAAGCUGGCGCUUUCCAAGCGCCGCAUGGUGCUCAAGUACUAAGGAUAGAAGGUUGUAGGAGUAGAAGGUCACCAGCCCGGCGAGGGCGAGGCUCAAAACUCCGCCCGCCCAUCCCAACAAGGCAAAUGCAAAGGGCAAGCUCAAUAGUGCCGGCGCAACUAUUGCUGUUGUUAGAUGGUAUCCACAGUGCAACCAUGUCCCUGUCCAUCAUGAAAUCAAGCACCGCAAACAAAAAAACCACCAAGUAUUUCAUUUCGUUUCAGUUUUAAACGAUGUAAGCAAAAGUUGGGAUCGAGCAGUUGGAAGAGUUGUAGGCCGCCAGAUGGGUAAUACAAUCCCACCAGAUAGAUGUGAAGAAAGUAGUAGGAGUAGUUGCUAAUUAGUAGUGUCUAACCUCGGGAUUUCAGGACGAAAAGGGCACCAGCAUCAAGCUCUUUGGGGCCGACUGUUGCUGCACCGCCUUUUUCUCCAUGUUCUGGAGAUAGCUUGGGGGAAUCUAGGACAGCAGUUCCCAUUUUCCACCUUCUAUGCGUGUGAUUUAUGUGGGAUCUGUUCUGCGGAUAGAAUGUGUGUGUGUGUGAAUAAACGACCCAAAAUGUUGGAACAGAAUUGUGGGCGAUACGAGGGGUUAUGUAGCACUGAGAGUGAAAUCAAUAAGUCAACGCCGGUUGGUUUCGAGCAGUAUAAAUUAAGGAUAUUCAGCUUUAAGGUAAGAUUCAGAUUCAUUCACAACUCUGUGUUCAACACUAUAUCAUAUGAUGGGCUUGACUCGUUUAGGAAAAGACAGACUAAUGCUGUAAUGCAUAUGGUACCAGCCGAAAAUUGAAAACUAAUAUCUUGGACGUUUGCGUGGAAAUAUGCUCCGUGUAAAACUGGUUUAUUGUUUUCGUAUAUCUCUGUCUCAUUCCAUGCUCUAGUAAGUAGACCAACUUAUGAUGGUCUACUGAUCAAUCAGAAAUAUUAUUGUAUCGAUUGCUGCCGGUGAACUCAGGGAAAGAGUAGUACAGGCAGCCUAGAACUAGAGGUUGUUUUGUCGCCUCCCUUGUUGCUUGAUUACAGGCAGCCUAGAGUUCUUAGUCGGCCAAACUUUUUUGGGAGGACCAAGUCGUCCAAACUUUACUGCAAAAUAAGUGCUAACUCGAUCUCCAAGAACCAGAAGAAAAGAAAGGAGACGGGCGGCAAACCAGCAAAGGUUUAAACAGACUCGAUCAAGCAUUUGGCAGGCCAACAAAUUAAACCAUGGGAGCGAGGAGGACCUUUGGCGAAGCAAGAAGUCAACACAGGUGGUCAUGAAUCGGCGAAAUUCGCUGGUAAUCUUGUUAACGAAACUAGGUGGAAGAAUAGUUUCUAGUGUGGACUUGUAUGGCUGCGCAAAAUGUUUUAAAAACCGGACCGUAAAUUAAAUCGGUGAAGUGAAAGGGUCGAGAUUCAAUCGGCCGGACCGGUUCAAUCUCGGUUCAAUAAAUUUUUUUAAAAAUGAUUUAUAUAAAUAUAUAUAUGUACAAAAUAAGACAUGUAAUGGAUUAAUUUAAUACUUUAUAUGAUGAAAGGUUUACUAUUUUUUAAUAACUUGAAUUUUUUAAAAAUAAAUUUUUUAAAUUAUAAAUUAAAACAAAUAAAUUUCGUCUCGAUUUCAAUUAUGUCUAAAUCCAAUCCAAAAAUAUCACAAUAUUUUGAAAUUAUACAAAAUUCACGUCUAUGAAAAUUUAGAUAUUGUGAACUUAAAUUUUAAUUUACGUUUUAGAGAUUGCAAUUUAAAAAAGAAAGUUUGGAGUUCGAAGGAAGUCAAGAAAAUCGAAAAUAGAAAUGUAAACUUGAUAAGAAACAAAAAAUGAGAUAAAAGUGAGUGGUUGUAGCAUUAAAUAAUUUGGGUUAAAAAAUAAUUUUUUUUAACUUUUUUCAAUUUAAUGGAUAAAAACCAAAUAAAAAAAUGGAAGAAAACAUCAAUAAAUUAAAAAUAAAGAGGUUUGAUUAAAAAGGGAGUGACAAAAAAAAAGAGGAUAGAGAGAGAGAGAGAGUUGAAAAUUAAAAAGAAAGAACCAUGAGAGGAUGAGAUUUUGUAAGAAAAAUGGGAAAAAAAAAUAUAAGUGUUUGAUUUAUAUAAAUAAGUUAUAAAAAAAACUAAUAAAAUGUGAUGGUGUAACGAUUAAUAUAUUAGUCUUCUAUUACAAAAGUCUUGAGUUCAAAUCUUGAUAGCUGCAUUUUACAAAAAAAAAAAAAAAAAAAGGAAGGUUGAAAACCGGUUCAAUAGCAAUUUUUACGAUUCGAUCAAUUUUUGAUCGAUUUCCUGACAAAAUCAAUUAUGGUAUUGAAUCGGACUGAUGUCAUGAUCGAUUCACGAUUCAAUCGAUCGAAUCGACCGGACCGAUCCGAUUUUCAAAACAUUGCAAAGUGAUUGUCUGACAGUUGCCAGCCAGUACAUGCAGCAUGCUUGUGUAUGUAUCAAAGAUUUUUUAUGAUAUAAAUAAAUAAAACAUUUGGCAGGACAGCAGCAUUCAGUUGGCAAUAAUUUUGGCAUUGGCGAGAAGACCAAAUGUUGGUAAAAGUCAAAGAUAAACUUGAGUCUACAAUUAUGGGUGGCCUAAAUUGAAAACUCGGAUUCCAAUGAACAAAUUAAAGCCAAUAAUAAUUGCUUCACGUGUGUGCUUGAAUCUUUGACUACUGUGCAUUGAAUCAUUGACUAUGAUUUGGAGCCUACCUAAUAUUUUGUUUGGAUUGAGCAUUAUUUUUUUAAUUUUAUUUACUUAUAUUAUCAUUAUAAUUUUUAAUAUAUUUUUUUUAAUUAUCUUUUUAAUCCAUUCACAAAAUUAGUUAUAGUAAAAAUAUCCCAAAUAACUUACCAUCCAAACAAACAGUAGUGGCAAUUCUAGACAAGCACAGCAUACUUAUAAAAUUGGAUGUAAGUUUUUAACUCCCUUCCUUUAUUUGUGCCCUAUAACAAAAACUUGUACCCACUUACUUGGAUUACUUGAAAUUUGAGAGUAAAUUUUUUUUUAAAAAAAGAACUGCUGUUCUAGUUUGGAAAAUAUUUUCCUGACAAGUGACAGCUACAUAGCUAAAUAAAUAGAGAGUGGCAUGCGGCGGUAGUUUUCAUUUUCUAACUAAAGACAUUUCUAGAAGGGGGAUGGAGAAAUCGUAAUUCACAACUCAUAAGAAUCUUAGCUUAUUUUAAUAAAAUUAACAAAGGGAUCUCAAAAUUUGAUUCUAAUGUUGAUUCAGUAAGAGAUGUUAGAUUUAAAUCCUCUCACCCAACAAACAUCAAAACAGAGAACUGAAAAUGUAGGAUUGCCAAAAUUUCAUUGACACUGAUUUAUAUGAAAGAAACUUUGUUCAUUUACAAAAUAGGACUCCGCCUAGGGCUGUCAACAACGAGUAGGAUCCAAGCUGGAAUUGGUAAUUCCAAACCUGGGUCUAACAUGCAAUGAAAAUCUGAAUUUAGAUCGAGAAUCAGGUCCGGAUGGGUCUCAAUAUAUAGGUUCAGAUUCGAAGCCGAGUUGGAUAUAUCCAUUUUUAAGAAUUAAUUAUGAUAAUUUUUAUUUAUUUAUACAUAAAAAUUAUUAAUACAAUAUUAACAAUAUAAUUAAAGUAAUUCUAAUAAUCAUUUGAUUUAUAGAAAAUUCUUUUUAAUUUAAAAAUUAGUAGCAAAUUUUAAUUAGAAAUAUGUUUUUAAUUAAAAUAAUUAUACUAAUAAGAUUCGGGUCCAAAACAGAUAAUAUCCGAUCGAUUUAGUUUAUAGAAAAAAUGGAUUUGGAUUCGAUUCGGGUAACUGGAUCUAUCACUUAUUCCGUAUCCUUUAAAAACAAAAUGGAUCAGGUACAUUAACAACCCUAAUUCCACCUAACCUUUCAUUUAUUGUUCAUCCCAAAAGCUCUUUCAAGUUGCUAAAAAAUAUCUAUUUGAUUAAAGGUCACUAAACCCAUAAAAACCGCAAUGUAAUGAUCGCACACUCAUUGUAAAACCCAAUUUGAGCCUCAUAACUCGUCUGGAUUGUAUUUUUUUGUUAUGAAACAAUUAAAAGUAUGGAUGUUCUUUUGUAAUCCCAAGAGGAUUAAUUCAUGAUUUAUGAUUAUAUUAUGUAUAGAAGUUACAAUUCAUAAAUCUAUUCAUGUAGUAGAGAAACCGUUUCAUAGGUUUCUUCAUAUUAUUGUAGUAGUGGAUGUUUAAUAGGAUUUAUGUACCUUUAAUCUUGUAGUGCCUAUAUAUAGAGGUACAUUGACACCCUUUGGAAGAACUUUUGUAUUUUGUUGGAAUACAAUAAUAUCAUUCUCCAUUGCUCUACUUUUCCUCUAAUAUUUCUAUUCAUACUAUAGUAGUUUAUUAGUUUUACAACAUUUUUUGACUUUUCGGAACAUUACAAGUUUUUUUAAGAUGUGAUAUAUCUGAGAUGAAAAAAAUGAUUGAUAAAUAUGUUAAAGAAAUAUUCUAGAAACACAAAUAUUGGUUUGGGCCAAGCUACAACAGCCCAUUAAUAAAUCACACAAGCAGUUCAUGGCCCAAAGUACAGAAUUUAAAUGACGAAAACACCCAAAAUUUUGCCAUAUAUUACAAACCUACUACCCUCCAUAAACCGCCAUCUUCUUCCUUUCACCCGUGCUCGUCUUUGUUGAUUACUUUGCUGAAUAACCGAGAAACAACAAUGGGGAAAAGCGAUGAUUCAAUAACGAGAAGGAAAAAUAAAAAGAGCAGAAAAAAGCAAGAAGUUAAGGAUUCCUCCAAAGUCUCUUAUCGCAUAGCUUCCAUUAUUGCUGCUAAAAAGCGUCGGCUAAAUGGCAAACGCCGCAUGUGUCAGGUAAAUCUUUACUUGCAAAUUUACACUUAUUUUCAAAAUAUUUCGUUCUGCAGUUUUUGACGUGCUUUUCUUCGGAACUGUAAUGCGUUUCUAUUAUCUGGGCGGGCCAAAGGAUAAAUAAAUAGAUAAAUGAAGAAAGAAAGAAAGAAAAAGAGUGAAAAAUCGACAAUGGGUUGUCAAUUUUAUAUGUUAAUGUGUUAGACUUGAUUAAUUUGCGUUUGAUGUAUUUACUUUAUGAAUUUGGAUUGUCUGAGCUAAUUGUUAAGCAUAUCUUUUGUGGUUGUUGGUUAUUUGAUUUAAUGUUCUGUUCGUUAAUUUGCAUGAAUUGAACUCUAAAAUCGUACUUUGAAUUACUAUUCAGAGUUUAGAUUGAAGAUUUUCUGGGUUUUAAAUUACUUAUAGAUGCGCUGUUCAUUUUUGGUGAAGAUUGAAGUUAGCGUUAAACUUAAGUUAGACAAAGUACGAGGAAGAUUCUUGGUUUUUAUUUUAUAAACCAGGAAUGCUUGUCCAAAACCGUUUAAUUAUUCAUCUGAGUAGCUGUGUCCUAAAUUCUUACUGGUUGACAAACCAGAGAGUAGGAUUCACCCGUUGGGGUAAUUCUGUUCGUUUCGUUUUGCUUUUUAAGUGGGCAUAGGUUAUCGAUGAACUGUCUGAUUCAAGUAUGUCAGUUUGAAAAACGGGGAAUAAAAAGGAAUCUACGAAUCUACGAUGAUAAAUAAAUGCUAUAUGGAAAUUUCUUUGAGUAACAGCUAGGCAUGUGUCGUAAUUUUACAGGGUAUGUGCUUUAGCAUUCCUACAGCUGAGGAUCCAUUCAAUGAUAGAUACGGUAAAACUGAUGCUGUGAAGAAUAAGAAACGACCUCUAGAUUCUAGAGUAGACAAGACACAUAUGGACAAGAAGCGAGCAUUGUCAAGAAACAUGGCUGCUAAUAAAGAUCAUGAAAAUGAAGAUGUCAAAAAAGAAAAGUUAUUUAAACUUGAGAAGAUUGAGAACAACACAAUUGCAUCUGUUACAGUCUUUAAAUCUGAGGGGAAGAAAGAUGUGGGGAAGCCUGGAAAAACAGAGGUCCCAAUGCUUCAGGCCUGUGGGAGCAAAACUGAUGAAAGAGGGCAUGAAAUUUUUCAAGAUUGCCCAUCAAAGUUUUUAGUUCUUUGUCUGAAUACCAUUCAGAAUGCUCUGCAACAUGAAUCGGCCUUUAGCAGUGAAGAUAGACCUUUCUUUGUUCACAAAUGGGGAGUUGAGUUUUGGAAGUUUUAUUCAAGUGGAAGGGAUAUAGUAGAGACCAGUGGAGCAGAUUCUGAUUCCGAGCAAAUUGCUUGGGUGGUGUCGUGUGCUGCUGAUACCAUUGCAAGAAAGGAGAAGGGAGGAUUGUCAUUUAGCAGUCCCUUUCUUUUAUUCAUUGUGCCAUCUCAAGAAAAGGCUGCCAAGGUUUGUGCAUUCUAUUUCUGAAAGAAUAUCAUUUGUCACUUUUAAAAGCUGUAACUUUCCCUAAGUUGUGUGAUUCUCAUGUUGUGACUUCUUUGUAAUGGUAUUCUUAUUGAUUUAUUGUUUGUUUCAGCUGCCAGUCUUGAUUAUUUAAUGUAUUUUAUUGUCUUUCAGGCAUGAACGCAUGGUUUUUGUUGGUUGUGAGAGUCUUUAAUUCGAUGAAGCUUUAGUAGAUUUAGAGUCAGAUCUUAGAAAUAUGUGUAUACAAGUUUUUUAAUCAGUUUGUAACCAUCUUUUAGGAAUUAUUUCAAGCUCAAAGGCUGUCCAUUUCAAGGACAUUUUCAGUAAUUUAGGAUAAGUUUUAAGGGGCCAUCGAAUGUAAGAUUUUAGUGGCAUAUGAUAUUUUUUUAAUUUUCAGCUAAGACCUUGAGGGGAGAGAAUUGCUAACAAGGCUUCUGUCACUCAACGGUGCUUUCCGUUUUAUUUUACAGCAUAAUGCUUUCUAUGUGUCUUUUUCCUGUCUGUACUUCGGGAUCUUAACUUGGGCUUUGUUUGUGUUACCAUUAUAAAAAAAAUAAUUGGUUUUAGCUGGGAUGAGGAGAUCAAACGUUUUGUCUGAUAUAUAUUGAAAUUGAUCUAAGCAAAUAAUUAAUUGCACAUGAACAUUUGACCCAACAGAAUUUAUUCUUCGGCUCAAAGAAUUUUUUCUUCUCUUUUGGAGAUGUCUUUAGCAUAACCAUUUUGUACGUUUUUGAAUUUGACUAUGUUUCAUCUGGAGUUUAGGUACGGAAAAUCUGCAAGCCUUUGAAGGCUCUUGGAAUACAUACAGUGAGUUUGCAUCCAGGUGCCUCAAUAGAUCAUCAAAUUCGCGGGUCAGUUUUUAAAAUCCUCCUUCUCGUUCCUUUUGUUUUUUCUUAUCUGAAUUUGGCUUAGAUCAAUUUAAUAAACAUUCUCUUGCAAAUAUUUUUCAAGAAAAGUUUCUCAACUUGUAGAAAAGUGUAAUAAUUAGUUUUACAUGCCAAAUUUGAUACUAUGUAUCAAUUGUUAACUAGGUAUUCACAAGCUUAAUCUGCAAGGAAUAUGAUCUUUGGAUUACCAUGUGAUUUUAUGUCUUUCAAGUUGAUAAAAAUGUAUCCACACUUGUUCAGACAAUUUAAUUUGGAUUUUGGCUGUUUUGGUUACCAAGUCUGACUCUACGUGAUCGUCAGUAUUAUCUCUGACUUUGAGAGGAAAAUGUACUGAUUAAUCAGAUUGGACGGACAAGUAUACUUGUCAUUGAGCAAUGCAAUCUUUUGUUAGUCUAUGUCCAGAUUAUGACUCUCUGUAAUACUAUCCUACAACAAUCCAAUGUAUUGUCUUUCACAGUAGAAAGAUGUAUGCUUCGUAGAAAAAUGUAUGCACGUCGUAGACAAGGCACAUUCCUUGCCAACACUAGACUAGUUAGGAUCAUGUCCAAUGUGAGGCAUUGGCAUUCGGCGUGUUUGUUGCAAGCCAUUUCAGUUACUUUUUCUCAAUAUACAAUUGUAUUCACCAAUCUUAUACCAUUGCAUUUCUUUGAUAGGUUAAAAAGUUGUGAACCAGAGUUUCUAUUAUCUACACCUAAGAGACUUCUAGAGCUCGUCUCCUUAAAGGAGGUCGACAUCAGUGGGGUUUCCUUGCUGGUAAUUUUGAACAUAUUUUCUAUUUAAAAUUGGUGCUUGAGUUUCUAAUUAUGUUCUCCUUGCUUAAUUUGUUUCAUAUUUUCCUGGCAAUUUACAUAAUGAAUAGAAAUAUCUGAAAUGGCAGAAAUCUUUAGUUGGUUAAGUUGUGUACCUUCUGAAAGAAAAUGUCUAUGAGACUAGAUAUAUGAAUGUGGAAAUAGUUUAUAUAUGUGGUAAUAAGUACUUUGAUUGCGAUAUUGGCAGAAGAAUAGUUAUGGGAUGUGGUAAUGCCGUUCCUCUGUACAUGUCAGGGCAAAAUUCUGUGGGGAUUUUUACUAGAUCAUCCAUGCUUUAAGGACAGAAUGCUGGGCUAUUAGAUAUUCUCAUGCUAAAUAUGCCUAGUCGAAUGCCUGAGCUAAAAUCGGUUUUUGGUAGAGCCACAAAGAGGAAGAAAUGGACAACUUGUGGAGACGGUUGGUAUGUUGCAUCAUAAACCAGAAACUGUACUUGUAAGGCUGAGUAACAUAACACAAUGUCCUUUAGCAAUGAAUGAAGGCCAAAAGUUGCAGCUUAAGAUGAUAUAAAAUGAAAGAGAUAGGCACUUUGGGUGUUGCAAAUGAAUCAUCUGAGCUAACUAAAAGGGUUUACAUGUAGCUUAUGUGAAAAGGCUUGUGGAAGUUCUGGCUUGGUUGGGCUUUUAUUUGCUCGCUUAACUUGCAUGGUGGUUUACUGUCUCUCGUUCUUGUGAAAACUGUUAGUUGGUAAGGUUUUCAGGCUAGUUGAUACCAAGCUAUCUCAAGCUAGACCUUGUAGACAGUUCUUUACUAAUCUAAUCUGGAUGUGCUGCCAAACUCAUUUUGCAUCAGUCUGAAACUUGGGAUUACUGUAUAGAAGGUUGUUUAUGUGAUUAACAUACUUCACGUUCUUGGUGUAGAAGGUUGUUUAUGGUAAAUUAUAAUGUUGAUCUGAAAAUGAAUAUCUUAGGUGGUUUGCUGGCUCUUGAAACUACUCGGGGAAGAUUUUGUGUCUGAUUCUGGUUAGAUAUUUAAAAUAAUGCAAAAGGAUAUCUGUUCUUUUCUGUCAUUUCUAAAGCUGAAAUGAGCUAUAUCGUGUAUCGUAAUGCUUCUUAGUUUUCUUUAUUCAUAUACUUGUUCUGAUCUAUAAUUUUGAUAAUUGGUACAGGUCAUUGAUGGAUACGGAACUUACUCAGAUAAUGAUGGUAUUGAACUCAUUAGGCAAUCAAUUUCUGGGUGUCCCCAGGCGGUGGUAUUCAGUGAAUGCUCAAGUAAUUGGUCUACUCCAAUUUUGCCAAACCUUUUGCAGGGUUCAGUCUGCCGGAUAUCUUCUGAUGAUUUGGAGUGUGUUAGAUGACGGACUCAUUGAAAGGGUAUGGUUCCAUGGUUCUUAUUUCCUUUUCUUUUCUCUUCUUUUUUUUGGUCCGAUUAGUCUGAUAGUAGAGUGUUGAUUUUUAAACUUGCUUAGAUGAAUAAAAUAUAUGUCAAAUGGUAAAUCUUCAUUUGAUUAUCCUUUGAACUUUUUGUGGCAGGUCAAUUUUGAUGUUGUUUGUCAGUAAGGAAAGAUUCACAUCUUGGAUUGUCUUUUCCAGACUCUUCGCCCCUCAGGAGUUCGGCCAACUCGGGCAUUUCAUCUGGCCGGUUUCGUCAUUCAGCUACAGUAAACCACCUCAGCUUGGCCUAAUUACUGGCUUGACAAAUGGGUCGCUGACAGAGUAUUGAAGAUGGAAAUCAAAUCGUCUGUUUUUCUUUUACAACGGAAUAAAAUAGUUAACAAUUAAAAUUGAAUUUCACUUGAGAGCGAAAUUUGUAACUCCAAUUAUGUAGCAAUCCCCUGAGAGUUUUUUCAUUUUGCUUUUGGUUUGUUUGAUUUGUCCUAUUGUAGUCAAGCAUUCACAACGGCGUGAGGACACACUCUAACCUCCAAGGAAAUUGUUUGCUAAUUUGUUGCUGCCAGUGAUCGACAAGCAACUUGUAUUGUAUCUUGGCUUCAAAUGCAUUAUUUUAGUGGAGAGAAAGGGGGCCCAAAUAAAAAAAAAAAAAAACACUAUUAGAUUUUUAUAAUGUAUUUAGAAUAGGGAUUUAAUUCAACUCGUGUGCUUGGCUAAAGGUGUAUACUGAACACCUAUAUGUUUGCAAAAGACUUUGAUGUAUUAGUUUUUUUUUUUUAAAAGCUAAAUUAAUUUGAAAAAUUAUUAAUAUAUGCAUUAUACAAUAUGAAUAUGGUAUGUGUGAAAAAUUGAAAACGUAUAAAUGUACUAUAUAAUAUGGUAUGUGAAUUAACGGACCACCGGAAAAUAUUUUUGUGCAUUCUUGAAAUGACUCAUCAAGAUUUUAAAUGAUUGAUUUCCUUUCAUAAACGUGAGCGAGGCUCAUUGGAAAUCUCAAACAUUUUUAUAUUUCAACUUGAUUAAAACAUGAAGCAUGGAUGGUAUAUAAUGGCAUUAUACUCCCAUAUUACUUGCUAAGAAAGUAGUAAUAAACGUAUUGAAUACCAUGACGUACAGAGAAAUAUUCCCAUUUGAAUUGUUAUUUUUUGAUGGAAUUUUUAUAGAAAAAUACUCCCAAACUGAACAAGGUAUGGAAUUUGUAUAACAAAGAAAUACACUAUAGCAAUUUAAUAUAAGUUAAGUGAAAAGGCGAUUAAAAAAUACGUUCACGAAAAAUAUAAAAUUAGUAGUAUUUUUUUUCCAAAAACGACCGAAUACGAAAAAUAUAAAAUUAGCUGGAAAUUGCAAUUCCAACAUCAGCUCAUACAUUUGUAGUAUUUACACAUUCAGUUGCCAACUAUAUGUAGCAUAGGCGGUUACGUGGACCCCGCUUCUCGCAUACGUGUCCUCCACGUCACGUUUUGCCAAGCACCCCCAAACAAGAACAAGUUUUCAUCUCCCAACUCUCAAGAUUCCAGCGUCUCAACAACUAGUCGCUACCAUCAUGAUCAAAUUGAAAGUUUGAAACAGCCACCGAAAAAAUUGAAAAAAAAAAAAAAAAAAACACCGCAUAGGUCAACGAUUACAUCAUCUCCGUACACCUUUAAUUAAACAUCGCUGUCACGAUUUCCCGUGAUUACUCAUUCCUUCAUCAUUGUUAAAUUAAAUCAGCAGAAAAGCCUUUUUCCGCCGAGACGCCGACCCCACGACGGAACGGUUCCCAUGGACCUGCCCAGGACUCGGGUGGGACGAUCCACCUCACUUCGUGACCCUUCCGACACUCGAUUCACUGACUCCGAUAAAAUUGAAGGCGCUGGUAGCUGGGAAACCCUUGAAUGGACUAAAAUUGAGGUAAAUUCAAUUUUCUUUCACCUGCCUCCUUUAUCAUUCUCUCUGUUAGGGUUUCGUUUAUGAUUUGGAAUUCAUAUUUUGUAUGUUUUCCUGCAAAUUGCAGCCUGUUUCGAGGUCGGUUCCACAAGGACUGCAAGGUUUCUUGCUCGAAGCUGAACGUGUUAUCGUAGAGGUAAGUGAUAAGUUUGUGUGCCUCUAUGUUAGUCCCGUUCUCCAAGCCACAUCUCUGUGCGUGUGCGUGUACGUGUGUGUCUUUUAGUUUUGUUGUAUUUUUUUUUUCACAUUUGCGUGCUGUUUUAGAUUCUCUUUAAGAAUUUGUAUGAGGUUAGUUGAAGUAGUGAGUUUGUAAUUGGUUGGAGUUAAAAGGUUAUUUAUAAGAAUUCUGUUAUCAUUUGAUCCAAUGGGAUUAGUUGGCGGGAGUAUUUAUUUGAAUGUGCGAAAUUGGAAAUUUUGAACUGAUGAAAGAUCUCAUUUUACCCAGCAAAAGACAGAUCAAAAGAGGAACCGGAAAUAAAUAGCAUUAUGCUUUACUCUAUGUUGGGGUGUGCAGAAGUUUGGCUGUUAAAUUAAAUUAUGUUCCGUUCAUCUAGAAUCUUCACUUGUUGUUUUGCUCGUAGCAAUGACAGCAGGCAUCUACACGAUCCAAUUAAGGGAUCCUAUUGAAUCUACAUAGGUAAGCAGAAUAUGGCUGAUAAAUGCAUUGUACCAAUCGGGGCCUUCUCGCUGUAUUUGCUUUUAAUGAUACAUAAGUGCAGGGUACUGGUUGUAUUGCGCGUUAGCAUGUUUUUUUUGUAUGCUUCUUAUUAAGGAGUAUCGAGGAUGAGCCUCCACGUGUGCACGCAUGAACAGACAAGUCUGCACAUGUAUACCUUCUUAUCUACAAUUAGCUCAACAUUGGUUCAAUUUGUUCUGGGUAUGGUGUUUUCCUCAUCUCGGGAAAUCUAGAUAUUGUACUUAGGGCAUUCUGCUCAUCCAUUCAUAUAUGCAACCACUAGCAGAUUUGAUUUUGCAUCUUCUUGUUCCCCUCCUUGUAAUUAUUGUCAUCCCGAUGACUGGGGACAUUGUUCGGACACUGAUUUGGUAGUUAUUCUAAGAGUUGCCAGGAUCGACUAAUCUUGAUUUCUGUUGACAUUGAGAAAGCUGUAGGUCAGAAUUGUUCCGUAAAUGAUUGAUUUGAAGGGCAAAUAUUUAUAGCUUUGGUCGGAAUUGACCUAGAUUGAUGCUAUCCUAAAACAGUUUAGUGACUGUCACAAUUCUCUAUGCCAAUCAAGUGCAAUUCCUUGCAAGUGGUAGGAAGGAUAUUGAGAAUAAUGCAACGUGUUUGGAUGUGUACAUUACUGAGGACACUGAGGACGAGGAGAUAGAUAAUGUAAGGUAAACCGCUAAAUGGUAAACUAAGACCGUGAUCGUUUUAGCUCUAGAAUCGGGGACUUCGAAAUAGAUUUGGAAGAACUUGGUUAUUGACAUGCUGGGGAUUUACUUAAAGAUGCCUUCUCUUUUCCGGAUCCUGAAGGAGACUUCUGACUUGGAUGAAUCAAGUUGGUUAUUUCCAUCAUGAUGCAUGUGUCAUACACGGGAAUAUUUAUGUUGUCUAUCUAUCUGAUGUCAAAAGAAAGUCUAGAAUUGCACAACAUUAUGCAACUUGCCAUCCCAGUCUUCUUUAUACCACAAGAGCUGGAAUUUAGUGCAACUGACUUUAAUUUAUUUGAUAGAUUCAGUGUUCUUAAAAGCACAUGCUGUUCGCAUCUUCAAAACACAUAUAUGGGUAGUAGGUAAAAAUUCCUUUGUAAAGCCACCCAAUAGAAAAUAGGAGAGGAGCAUCUGCAAUAACUUGCCAACAAUUUGCUAUGGCCAAAAAUGAUUCAGCUGGUUAACUUACUUUACUUAAGGGAGUUAGUGAGUAUAUAUGAGAUGUCAUUUUACGUUGAUUUGGUAAACAUUUGCUUAACUUUGUAAAAAAAAAAUGUUCCUGGAUUUAAUUUUAUUGUAUGGUUUUCUUGUUUCUUUGUGUAAAUUUAAGGUUUUAUAGACUGGAAUUCUGGUUAGCUUGUUUAUCUCGUCUUGGAUUAGUCUUGGCUUUUUUUUUUUUUAAGAAAAAUCACACAUGCUUUAUUUGGUAUUUCAACCAUUGUGUCCCUGUACAUUAUUCUUUACUCUCUAGCUAGUGUGAGCAUGUCAUGAAGCUUACUGAGAUUAAAGAGUCUGCUUGCAGGGAUGUGGUGUUGUUCUUGUUAAUACUGAUGAGGCAGGGACCUUGUUUGUGACGAACUUUCGUCUUCUUUUCCUGGUAAGUGAUGAAUUUGACAUACCCAAGCAUUAUGUUUCAUUUCCUAGACAAUAUAUUUGGUGAUGCGAGUUUAAUGCGGCUUUCUUGGUGAGUGCUGCAAGGGAUUUUCUAUCACGUGGUUUCUGUAAUGAGUUAUGUUAGUAGAAACAAUAAUGUUGAAGUCUUGUUAGCCUUGAUGUGCCAAAGUUUUAGGGGCUAUCAUCUUCCUAAUUGUUGCAUAUCGGUGUAGCAAUAUUUCUUUAUUCUUUACUUUUCUUUUUGAUAGUUGAUCCUCAAGCAAAGGUUAAAUUUUUGUGGACUAAGUUUAUCAAAACAAUUUCUUUUAUACCCUUUAACAAAGUAAUAGGUGCUAUUUCUGCAAUGAUCUCUGCUGGCAUCAAGUUCGUGAAGGUCUAUUAGGUCCAAUAGCUAGCUAAGAACAAGUUUUUUUAUGUCUAGUGAUUUCUAGUGAUUACUUGGCAUCAAAUUCCUAUCCUUGAAUUGGGUCUCUUUUCCAGUGACCAGUGAUUACUUCUCUUUCCUCGUGUCUCUCACUAGUCUGGGAUUUACUUGUGGUGUUAAAUCAUUGACUUUGUUCACUCAUGCUGUAUGUUUUUUGCUGCCAUGUGUAUAGCAUGCUUCUUGUUGAGACAGUCAAGAGCUCUGAUGUUUUAGAACUUAAGUUACAUAAAGAAGUUUAUAUGGGCAAUGUUUUGCUAGGCAUUUUUGUAGUUUUUAAUUUCUCUGGUACACAAUAUUUCUUGUCCUAUGUUUUUUGAGUUAUUGUGUUUAUAGUUGUAGAUUAACUAUGUUCAAGUCUAGAGCUUGUUUUCUCUUCUUCCUUUUUUUAAUGUUUUUGUAGAAUAUUGAAUCUAAAAUUUAAUUUGUCGGUUUUCUAUUUUUUUUAAUCACUUAAACCAAUUUUUGAAGCUGCAUUACUCAUGUAGAAGUUUGGUUUUGUUUCAGAGUGAUGGUUCGAGGAAUGUAAUUGCACUUGGAACCAUACCUUUGGCAACAAUUGAGAAAUUCAACAAGAUUGUGAGUUUUGACUUUUCUUGCCUUAUGAUAUCGUCUACUUAUGUUCAUUAUCCAAGUUCUUGGAAUUUUUCACAGAUUAUGAAUUAGAAUUAUUUCCUUUGGAACAUCUUAUCAAAGUAAAUACUGUAUUAGUUGCAAAAGACUAAAGGAGAGAAUACUGAAUAUUCAGAAAUACAUGAAGAAUCCGGAGAAUGCAGAAAGCUGAAAUUAAGAACUACAAGUUGUAGUUUCACAGACAAAAUGAUGCUUAAAACGACUUCUGUGUCUUUAUAUAUUUGCUUAUGUUAGGAACGUUGUGACUAUCCUUUUAAAUUUGUCUUCCUGAUGGGAAUUAAUUUUGUUGUUGCGAUCAUUAUAUUUAAUUGUUUACUUGGGCUUUUAUUCUCAUUGAACAUAGAUUAACUGCAUCCAAUUCUUGUUUUUCAUGGAGGCGUAGGUUAUGAAGCUUCCAGCAGCUCCUAGGCAAACUGACAGGAGUCCUUCCCGCCGACUGCUUCAGGUCAUUGGUAUGCUAUUGGAUAGAAUUUCUGAGCUGUACAUUUCACAAUCCCGCUUCUUUUAUUUCUGGUUUAUUCUUAUCAAAAAUUUUCUUUGAUAUUGGGGCUGUAUCCUAGGGGUUUGUGGGCCUGGGGGAGAAGGUCUUCCCCAGUUUGGUUUUGUCGGAGAAAUAUACACCAGCGGUAGAUGAGAUGGGAAAUAAUCUUGUGGUACUUUGGACGUUUUUAUGCACUAAAUAACAACCAAAAGAAACAUUAACCUUUGCAACAUAUGGAUCUAACCCUGUUUGUGGUUAUAGUUUUAUGGAUUCUUCAAAACCCUACUGGUUCAUGGAGGCUACUUUGAAUUGGUGGUAUAACUUCUUAUAAGAGAAGUUAGUUACAGUAUAAGAUCGAUUUAGCUCAAAAGCACCUCCUGAAAAAAAAAUGAGAAUGUUUUGGCAAAUGUUCCUUGUGAUCAGUCUGUACAAUUAACAUCCACGUUUGUUUGAUACACUUAUCAUCCUCAACUGUAUUUUUCAGGCAAGGAUAUGAGAAUAAUUGUUUUUGGUUUUCGGCCUCGAACAAAGCAGGUCAGUCAUCUCAAGGAUUAAAGCUUCAUUUCUUCAUCUCUGUCUAUCAAUGGCCUGCACAUUUGGGUUUGGAUAGAUUUUUACUUAGCCUCUUCUAAUUUCCAUUUAGCUGUCACUGUAUCCAUUAAUUCAACCAAUGAAGUUUUUUAACAUCCCUUGUUCUGUUUCACUCUCUGUUGCUUGUGUUUGUAAUUUCCACCUAUGUAAAGCCUGAAUAAAAUUAGUCACCUGGAUUUGUUCUACUGAGUUGCAACGAAGAGCAAAUAAAAGUGAUAGUAGCAGUAAAUUAUUACUUGUCGCUGAACUUUUGAUUGGUGAAUGAGAAAAUUUCUGAGUGCUAUCAUCACGAGUUUCAUAAUCAACCCCUACCAUACAGUGCAUUGGGUGAUUGAUUUCCUAAUUAGUAACUUCUUAUGACCUCGGCGUGAUGAGAUAGAUAGGUGGGCCUGGCUUCUCAGUUAAAUGAAAUUAAUUAUGUUCUAUGCUGCUUUAUUUCACAAGUCAUAUGUUAAUUUCCUCACAAGAAUCCUUUAGCUUUUCCCAAGCAUGUUGAGCAUAUAUGAAACUGAUUUUGAUAGGUUCUGAUUUGCAGAGGCGUGCUGUAUAUGAUGCAUUAUUGAGGUGCACAAAGCCAUUAAGGAUUUGGGAUCUUUAUGCUUUUGCUUCUGGCCCUUCCACAUUCACUAACAGCGAUCCUAAAGUGCGGUUAUUGGAUGAGUAUUUCCGGCUUCUAGGUCUGAGUUCGUAUCAUGCUUCAACAAGAAUGAUUGAAGAUGGGUCAUUCACUUUGUCCAAUGAGUUGUGGAGGAUCAGCAGUCUGAAUUCAAGUUAUACUAUGUGUCCUACCUAUCCAUUUGCAUUGCUGAUCCCAAGAUCUACAAGGUGACACAACCAAUAUAAUACUUUUGUUUGAAUGUUCAAGUCAUUGUAAAAAGUAUUAAUCGUUUAUAAUGAUAUCUACCUAAUAACUUUGCUUGGCUGUUGAUGUUAGUGAUGAAGAAUUGCUGCAGGCUAGUACAUUCCGUGGGCGGUGUCGGUUGCCUGUUAUUACUUGGUGUAACCGAGGUAUGUAGUCUUUCAGAAUUAAGCUUUUGUUAGUCAUGAUCCAAUGGACCUGUCUGGCUGUGCCAUAAACUUAUGUAUGUUGUAAUAUCAUUGCUAAUUCUUCAUUUUAUUUGCUAAUUCAUAGAUACAGGUGCUGUACUGGCGAGAUCAGCUCAACCUCUUGUUGGCAUUAUGAUGAAUAUGAGGAGGUAAAAUAUUAUUUACAGAGCUUGUACCUUUAUAACCCUUAGAUGGUGAUUUAGGUUUUACUGUUAUAUUGAAGAGUAAGAAAUGGGACAGUGUCUAUUAUCAUGGAAGGCUGACCCAUAAAACUUUUGGUUGCCUAAUCUUUGUGUCAUCUGCCAGCAAUGCUGAUGAGAAGCUAGUAGCUGCACUGUGCACUCAAAUUUUUGGAUCAAGGGAGCAGCGAAGGUAAACAUUUUCUUUAUUGCUGUGAUGACUUUUGCCCCCCUAUUCUAUCUUGAUACUUCUACUCUUCGGAGGCUUCCUAUUGAAUUGAACAUAGUAGCUGCUUUACUGAAUAUGUACUUGACUUUAAACAGACAGCAAUUAAGAAGGCGAACAAACUUCUGUAUAUCUUAUCCAAUAAGAUAUGUUUGGUGAAGUCAUUUUGUUUUUGUUAUAGGAAGCUGUACAUUGCCGAUGCAAGGCCUCGUAAGAAUGCUUUAGCAAAUGGAGCCAUGGGGGGUGGAUCAGAGUCAUCUUCUAAUUAUUUUCAAUCUGAGGUCUGUUUAAGGUUUGAGUUACCUCAGUCUUCUAACAUCUGGUCUUCCACAACUUUUACAUUGAGUACUCAUGUUUAUUCAUUUUAAUUGGUUAUCAGAUUGUUUUUUUCGGGAUAGAUAACAUACAUGCAAUGAGGGAGAGUCUUGUUCGACUAAGAGACUACCUGGAUACGCAUGGUUCCACUUCAUCCGAUGGAAUGUCAUCAUUUUUGGUACUACAUGAGAUUCUUUAGUUGACCAUGCUGUUAGUGAGAAACAUUAUUUUGCAGUAUUUGUAAAUGAAUCUUAGACUAAGAUAUGCAUGAAAUUGGUUUGUGCAAUUUUCGUUUGGCGAGAACAGUUUUACUAAAUAAUAAGGCCACCUUGCUUGUUGUCUAAGAAUUAUUAUCAGAAUUAAUGUGAUCAAACACCUUAAAUUGUUUUUUCCCCCUUUUCUGUGUUGCCCUCUUAGAUUGCUAUGAUAACAGCAUUUUAUGGUCAAAUUUGCUUUAUCUUACUGCAGUUUUGAUGCUAAUAACUCCGUGUCAGGCAUUAUUAUAUUCCUUGUUAUCUCAUCUAGAUGGUUUGUGAUAUGCAUGCGAUAUCCAUAACAUGUUGUUAUGUCCUUGCUGUGCCCUUCUAGAUAUCAUAUCAUUGAACUGAAAAUGGUAAAAGCACUUUCUUGAACAUUUUCUGGUUCUGUUCUUCAAGUAUGUGCAUCUUUCCUAUUUUGCAGAGGCACGGGGGAUGGACUUGGGGAGGUGGUAACCUUAGUAGUAUGUCUGCCUCAGUUUCAACGCUUGGAGACAGCGGUUGGUUAAUACAUGUCCAGAGUGUCUUGGCUGGUUCUGCUUGGAUUGCAGCACGUGUCGCUUUGGAAUCAGCAUCAGUUCUUGUUCACUGCAGGUGAGAUGUGUCUCUAAGUUAAUGUCAUGGUCGGUUGAGAUGCUCUUUCCCAUUUUUUCCCCUUGGGAUUAAUUUUUCAAAUUUUGGUCCUAUUCUAAUCAGGAUCACAUUUAGCUACUGUUGGCCUUGAAACUUAUGUAUUUCUGCCUUGUAUCACAUGGGUUUUUGGGAUCUGUUUACCAAUUUGGUUUAGGUUUCUGCCUUAGCUGUUACAUUUUACUUGACCUUUUGGACCUACAGUGAUGCUAUCCUAGGUUUUUGCUUCUUCUGAAGUACCAUAAUAUUCAGUUAAAUGGGAGUUACAUAAGUGGGAAAAUUGUUUAUCUUUUUUCGUCUGUUUAUUAGAUGCUUUUGGGAAGGAUGAUAACUUCGUGAGAUACCGUAUUGUACUUCCUGGAAGUCAAAAGCUCUUGUUAACCUGAGUUCUCAACUUGGAUGUACUCCAUUUUCCCUCUUGUAUUUCCUCUUUGAGGAAAAGUUGGAAGAAGACAGAAUUGGAUAGUUAGGCCUGUUCUAGAAUAAACGUAGAAGAUUCUUUCCUCUUAUUAUUUCAUUUAUAGACCUUAAAAGGUGAUUUAAGAACUGAUUACUUUUUAGCGCUGAUUGUUGUCAUUAAUCUUUGUAGAGUAGUUUUUUGCAUAAAUCUUUGUAUGUAAAUUGUCAUGAAUAGAAUUUUACUGGAGGUUUUGGUUAGCCAGUUCAAUUUAUGUGUCAAUUAAGGAGAGUUCUCAUUGUUGAAACUUGUGAAAACUGUAAAAAAGAUGACCUGAUAGAGCCAUCUAGUUCUGGACAUUUGGAUUUCCUGAACUAACAAACAAUUAACACAGUUGUCUGCAAAAUAGAUGUUGAGUGCUGACUUUACACCAUAACUCCAUCUGACUAUAUCCUGUUUCAUGAAGAAGAUCCGCUUGUCAGUUUUAAGAGAGCUUGCUACAUAAAUGAUACUGCCUCAGAUUUGUUUGUCCACUCUGGUAUGAUAAGGAUAGUUUUCUAUGAUAUGUCAAUCCAGGGAAUUGUUCUCCUCCUCCCUCCUUAUAAACUCUAGAAAGAGCCAUGAAACACCUUUUGUUUUGGGACCCUCUUUGCUCUUGCCUGGUAGUGUGUUAGUGAGGGUGUUUCGGGCAUUUUCUUGGAUCAGAAGAACACUCUUCACUAUUUUAUUUUCAUCUUUCUCAUUAGCUUUGGACAUCUCUAUCAAUCGCAAUUCACUUGAUUUUAUAAGCUACAAUGCAGUGAUGGAUGGGAUAGAACCACUCAGUUGGUCUCACUCGCCAGUUUAUUGCUUGAUCCAUACUAUCGGACAAUUAAAGGUUUUCAGGUACUGCUUGAGAUACCAAAUCAAUUACAAUCUUUUUAUUUAUGUUGACUACGUAUCAUGUUGACAGCAUUGUGUUUGGCUCUGCUUUCGAGUGUUUCAGAAUAUGUUUUCAUGUUAUUCUGCAACUGCAAGCCCUGUUGGUGGAAUGGUUUCACAGCGACGUUGCCUGCUCUGCUUCUUUUAGGUUUUGUUAGAUAGAAGCAGUGUUAUAUAGUGAAAAACAUACAGCAUUUAGUAGGAUGAGUAUUUCAGUGUGUCUUCCAAGUUGUUCGGAGUUGAAUUUUGACUAGCUAUUGUUGCAGGAAUAUACGCCAUUUGCGAGAUUAGAUUCGUAGAGAGUGAAUCCUUCAAUAAGCUUCAACAUUUCAUGACAGUGAGGAUGACAUUGUUUGUCUUUUAAUGAUAUGCUAAAUGUCUAUCUGAUUCAGGCACUUGUGGAAAAAGAUUGGCUAGCAUUUGGCCACCCAUUUGCAGAUCGUGCUGGAAUGCCAUCUCUAUCUGGAAGUGGCAGCAUGCCUUUUGAGUUGUCUCGUCAGUCUUCCACAGGGAGCUUCUCUUCAUCACCCUCACGCCAAGCAUCAGGGUCAUUUACAUCUCAAGCUCCAGCUACAUCACAUACACAGAAUAAUUAUUCACCUAUCUUUUUGCAGGUGUGUGGGAUUUAGGUAACCAUAAGCUGUGAAGAACACUUCUCCUUUUUUCCCUUGCUAUAUUUGUUUAUUCAUGCUUACUGCAUGAUAGAUAUAAAGGUAUUCCAGAAAAAUCAAGUCCAAACUGGUUUUGAAGAGAUGUACAGUUUGCAUGCUGAGUUGGAUUCUUGCUAUUCCGAGCAGGCAUGACUAUAAGCAUCAAUGACGAUUAACAAAUAGUUGGUGCAUCAUUCAUGAUUUGAAGUUUGAUUUCAAGUAAACUCAUGUACCAGUGUAGUUCAGUGUGAUGAAUCCCCUGAGUUGGACUGCUCUAGUGACAAAAUGAUUGUGUGAAUGUGAUUCACUGGCACAUUGAUGUACAAAGUACAUGUCACUGGUUACUUAGUUCAUUGAUACUUUUAAGAUAAUGUGAUACACAUUAGACAAUCAGGAGUUCUGGUUUUCUUGCAAUUAGAAAAUCUUCAGCAUCUCAGAAGAGUACAGUGUGGGAGUAAGUCUUAAGUUCUCCAGUUGAAUGCUGAUACCUAGCUUACUAUGGCUAAAUGUUGAAUAUGCCUUGAAACUGAAAAGCAAUUCUUUCUUGGAUCUUUUUAAAUGAUGAAAAUCAAGUUGCAACUAUCAUCUCACUUGUAAAUGGUCAUGAUGCUUUUGUUUAUUUUUCCUGAUUUUUGGCGUUUGAUUGUUGCUCUGCAGUGGGUUGAUUGUGUUUCACAGUUGUUACGGCUGUAUCCACUUGCCUUCGAGUUCUCCUCAGUAUGUAUUUCUGUUUUAUUCCUGAAUGGAUGCUGAUUUUUCUCAAGAAUUUCAUGUGUUGCCUUUAGUGAUUCUUGUUUUUUGGCAUGCAGGGAUUCCUAGUGGACUUAUUGGAUUCUAUCCUUUCAUGCCGUUUUGGAAACUUCUUGUGCAACAGGUAUGAUUCAGCUUAUGCUGUCUUAACCUAUUCUGAAAGAUAAAACAGAAGAAAAGUAAUGGUUAACCUAAUGCGCUUAGACUCAUUGCUGCCACAUAAUCUCCAACUUAUGAAUUCAGUGACAUACAAUGAAUCACAUUGUGAAGGGUGACCUGGGGCUGAAGUACAUAGCACUUUUUAUGUACUUGAUGUGUAGUGCACAUGGUGUUGUCUGGAAUUCCAGAUGCUAUAAGUUUGCCAUAGUUCAUAUUUCUACAAAGAUGGGGCAAAUCCAAUACUUGACAGUAGGAAUCUAGAGGGAUAUGGUUAUCCUCACUAGUUAAUAAGUUUCAAUCUACUCCCUAGUUUGCUUUGGAGAUUUACUAUGGAGCUCUCUGCAGUUAUACUUAAAUCUGAGACCAUGCAACUGUCAUGAAUCACAAUAAUUACUGUGGCACGUAGCAUCAUCAGUAUUUGUUGGGAGUUCAGACAAGUUACAGUGUGAAUUGCAAGGAUAGUUUUUAAACUAUAACAAGUCAAUCUGGCAUAAAUUCUGUGGACAAUCUUUCAUUUUCCCUCCAGUCCCUUUCUUUCCAAUAAAGAUGGAGUCAAGUGUCAACGUGCAUUUUUUCAUAGAUUUUCUGUUUUACAAAUUCAGUGAGAAGGAAAGGCAGCAAGCUGGUAUUUCUGAUUCCUGUGGCUGCUUAUGGGUGUACAUGGCUGAUAUGAGAGCUUCGCAUGGAGGUUAUCAUGUGCAUUACAAUCCUUUCUAUGAACCAUCUAAACACAAUGGUCCACUACUACCACCUGCAGCGGCUUUGGCCCCAACAGUUUGGCCACAGUUCCACCUUCGAUGGGCUUGCCCAAUGGAGUCUCAGGCUGGAGAGCUUGAAGCACAAUGUCGGAACAUGAGUAAAAGGUUUACUGAAUUGCAGAAGGUGAGAGUAAAUUCUUUUCAUCCCUUGCUCUAGCUUUGGUACAUAGGCUUAUUCUAGAAAUCUAUUUUUUCCCCUUUUGUGAUUAGUUUUAGAAAAAUAAUAUGGAGUGAACUCUUCUCCCUAUAACUGGUUUUAUAUGGAGUCAACUUUACGAUUAGAAGUUGUAAGAUUUUUGCAAUUAUUAACAGGCAAAAGAAGAGACUGAUGCAAGAGUUAAAGAAACCACUGCUACUAUGGAGUCCUUGGCUGCUGAGUUGCGGAAUGAGAAGGUCAUCAGUACAUCAGCAAAGGAGUUGGCCAGCCGGGCCACCAGGGAGAGUGCAGCAAUAAAGCGCGCACUACAAUCACUGGGGUGUAAAGUGCACUUCUCUGGAGAUGGUGACCGCACUGUUGGCAUUGAAAGUAAUCCAACUGAAAUUCCUCAAAAAUCUGUGUACUUUUCAUCUAAGGAGGAAUCAGCUGGUAGUGGUGUCAGUAAUGAGAAAUCAGAGCUCUCUGUUUCGGUCACCGUUUUGGCAGAUGAUGUUUCCAAUAAUCCAAUUAACCGAUUUUGUGAAUCUUUAUGUCCAUUACAUACUAGGGAGGGAGGUUGCAGAUGGCCUGAUGCUGCCUGUGCUCAAUUUGGGAGUCAAUUUGUUGGAUUAAAAGCAAAUUUUGAUGCGUUUGAUCGGCUGUCUAUAUAUGAUAGGUAUUUCCAGCCAGAGUAGACAGUCUACAUUUUAAACUAAACAUGAGGUACGGGGACUUUAGGGACAUGCUUCUGUCUUGCUAUCAAAUUGAGGAUCUCUUGUAAAGAAGGAACUUUAGUGUAGAUUAAUUAGAUAAAAGUUUUGUUGGAGUUUUUACAUGAGACACAAGUGAAUAACAAAUAAGCCAGUGAAGGUUAUAGUGGUCCUAAUAUUGGAGAUGGGCCCGGGGACUGCUUGUACAGGUUAAUAUAUAUGGUUGGGUUUUUGUUUAUCAAAGCUAAUCUGAGGAUGUACAUUAAGAGCUCCUCAUUGACAUAGAAACUGGCUAGUGGAGGUUGGUACAGAUUUCUGUGCGUGCUUCAGGUUUACAUGGACAUCGAUCAAAUUUCCAUUCUUCUCUCAAGCAAUCUAAGCUUGUGGUAUGGAUGCUUAGAUUUUAUUCAGGUUUUGUGUUAGUUGAAUACUCGUAUCUCUCAGCGUUUCAAUAAAUUAAUUUUUGAAUGAGUAGUCUUUGUUCUCUAUUUGUUGUAAGAGUCAUGUACUGGUAGUUUUCCCUUGACUUCUGAAGUGAAGUCUCAUCCUUCCUGGGGUAGAUCGAGGAAAGGGACCUUGUAUACAUUCUUCAUCUGUUGGUAGUACAUCAUACGUUGCAUCAGGAGAUUGACUCGUGCAGAGGUGCAUUGAGGAUUUUAUUGAAUUUUGAGUUGGAUUUUGUACCUAGAGGCUAGAAGGAUCAAUAUUGGGGCCAACAUAACAGCUCGGCCAAUCUUGAAAACUUUUUUGACUGCUGUACAAACGGUGCUGGAGGGAAUUGGGAACGAUGAUGCACAACAGCACUAGUCGAGUAGUUGUUGGUGCUCUGAUUUCACAUAAAAGAUGGUAUUCAUGGGUGCUAAAGAAAAUUUUGCAUGGGAACUCGCUACCAUAGAAGAUGGCAGAUGGUUGUACUUUUGUAUUCUUGAAGUCUAAAGGCCGAAACUCAUCAUAAAGCAUAAGAGAUAUGAAGGAUGCAAGUAUGAGACAUCCGCUAUGGUCCUAUUCCAUAGCUGGUCGGAACAGUUUGUUCAUUGUAACCUCUUACAAAUCUAUUCCUUUAGGCUUUUCAUAUUUCAAUUAGUAAAUAAGGCUCUGCAUCUUAGUCAUUUACGGGUCAUGGUAAGCCAAAUGUUGAUGCAAGUACUUUUCAGCUUUUCGCAGUAAUCACUGAAGCUAUAAGAAUUCGUUGUGACAAAAAAAAAAAAAGAAGGGAAUCGUGAAGUUACAUAGCCUAGUAAAAAUGAAUGAAGACAUUCUGGGUACAAGAACAGCAUUGACCUCGCAGAGCUAAAACACUACAACUCAUUUGGCACGGUUCAUCAUAUUUAUAUCAUCAAUCAGCCGAUCCAAAUUGCAGUGGGAUGAGCCUGCUUGUUCCACAGAUCUUCUUGCCAAUUUCGCCUUCUCUUUAGCACAUAACAUGAACUCGUCUCUUUUCACAUCCAUCAGAUCUUUUAUCAUCUUCUCAACGGUUGCUCUUUCACAAGUAUCCUUCAUGUCCAAGCCCACCUUCCAAACCUCCCCAACAAGCCUACUAUUCACCUGUUGGUCAGCAUAGAAAGGCCAGCAGAUCAUAGGCACCCCUUCGUAUAUACUUUCCAAUGUAGAAUUCCAGCCGCUGUGAGUCAAAAAUCCACCUACAGCUGGAUGUGCCAGGACUUCCUGUUGUGGUGCCCAUCCCACCAUGUAUCCUCUUUUCCUCGUGCCCUCCAGAAGCUCUGCCGGAAUAUCUCCAUCUGCAUUCACAGAUUUUGGCCUGAUAACCCACAAAAAAGGUUUCCCACUAUUCACCAGUCCAUGCCAAAACUCGAAAAGCUGAUUUCUUGUUAGCACUGUCAUGCUUCCGAAACUUACAUAGAUCACAGAGUUUCGGGGUUUCCUAUCAAGCCAUGCCAUGCAGCUUCUAUCUUCUUUCCAAAGGCUGCUUGAAGAUGGUUGCUGCAGCGCGGGACUGGAAGCUUCUCUGGCUUUUAGAUGUGCAUGAAGUGGUCCUACGGUGUAUAGUUUUGGAAUGUGAGUGCGUAUAUGUGAUAAUGCGGACUCUUCUAGGUCUUCGAAUGUGUUGAGUAAGAGUCCAUCUGCUUUAAGGUUUUGCAGAGUUUCAGAUAUGACCACUUGGAAACCAGGGUCAGCUAGAUUACUCGUGCGACAGAAACUUGGAAGAUCACGCAUCCUGAAGCGUUCCAGUCCCGGCACACUGGAAAGCAAUUUAUCCAUAUCAUUUUCACCUGCGGGAAUAAUUAAUGCAGGAGAUCAAUACAGUGAUCUAAAGAAGAAUUGUGCAUUAGUGUGUGUUGCAUGCCGAGAUAAUGGAUUUUCUCAUAUAUUGUUUGGACUAUUACCAUUAAAUGGAAGUUCGCCAGCUUCAAGGAGCUUUGGAACGCACAGAAAAGCCCAGAAGCAGCUAGCACUAACAGUUCGGAAUAAUAUGGUGGGAAUAUGGAGUUCUUUGGCAACGUCAACAGUGAAAGACAUGAUCCCGUCUGCAAUUAUGCAUGUCAAUGCAGGUCUCCCAUUAGGGCUAUGGAAUUGGAGACCUGUAAGUAUGUCUCUAAACUGAGGUUUUGUUGUGGCAUUUACGGCAUGAAAGAGCUCCACAACACGAUCGCCGGUCCGAGGGUGGUCUGCCGGAAGCCCAUCAGAGAUGGUUUCAAAAUGGAAGGAAGGAUAUUGGCUGAAAUGGUAAUGAAUGUCAGUGCAGCAAAGAAGACGUUCAUGGAUGUGAUGUGAGUUAAGGAAGGUAACAUGGAGGCCUCUGCAGCACAGAAGCUCCGCAAGCUUCAGCAUACAAUUGAUAUGACCCUGUACAGGAAAGGGGAAAAUAAGUACAUGAGGUUUCUGGGCCAUACAAGUCAAUAGUAUCUCAAUGCAAUAUAGAAAAAUGUGUUUCUGGUACUUGUGACCUAAAACAUGCUAUGCUUUGAGAAGUUUCAGCUGAAAAUCUUCUUUAAAAUGGCAUAAAAUGCGAAGGUUAGUACCUUCUUCUAAAGGCGGGUUGUUGAUGUUAUUGGAGAGAUCAUGACUUUGAAACCUCCUCUUGUGGCUCCGCGUUUUGUUACUCACGCGAUGUUUGCAGCCAUGCAAGAGUUCAAAAGUUUGGUAUCUUCUCGUUUCCUCUCAUUUAAGUCGAAACAUCUAAUACGUGCUUAACCAGACCACACACUACCGAUGACUGAACCUUCAGAUUCAGAGAGCGUAAACGCAAUGUAGGAGGAGGAACAUGCAUGGCAAUUGACCUCUACACAAUUCACCAUCGUAUACUUACUUAGUUGCCUAGCUUUUCUACAUUACCAGAAUUUAUUAAGUCAUAAAAGCUUCUAAGUUGCUUCAAGCUGCAACUCCAUCUCCAACCCCAUGUUCUUACAUGCAAUUCUAAUGUUGCUCUGCUCCCCACCGAUCAUUAGCCUAUAUAUCUUUUUGCAGCUUGAGGGCCUUUCCUUCUUGGUGUCCAUCACUGAUUUUCUGGAAAAACAAAUUUAGUUUGCUGCAUCAUUCUAUUUGAGCGUCUAAUCAACUCUCAUCAGUAUGUAUCCUGUUGUUACGAAGAUUUUGGCAACUUAAAAGAUUUAAAGCCAGGAAUAAAAACUUUUGACCUGAUUGAAUGCUUUUUAACAUUUCUUACAAAGCAUUUAGUUGGAAGAAAUUGUAAUACAAAUAGUACCUAGCAUGAACACAAAUGAUUUAGCUACUCCCCAUAUUGAUAGCGAGCACCGUCGCCAAUGAGUCGCUGUUCAGUAAGACAUUAUGCAUUGUAUUAAUUAAGUGGGAGAAGUAAUGAUGCUUCGGUGCCGUACCAAGUCAAAAAGCAAAUCCUUAUCUUGACCAUUCAGUAUAUGAGGUGAACUGAACUCUUCAAUUUACUCCCCAUGCAAAUAAAACUAAAGGAUCACCUAAGUAGUGAAAUGUCUUUUCAACAAUGCAAUUUUUGGGAUAUAACGGUGGGAUGAACAAUGAUUAGUAGAUAAAGUUGCAUGGUGGUGUCUUACGCAUCUUGGCUUGUCAGUUGUCACUACUCCCAUUUAACCUUGGCCUGGGAUAUCGAAUGCUGAUCUCCUUUAAAUGAUGCAAAGAAAUCAAUCACAAGUCACGAGUCAUCUCUAACCCUACAAUUUGAACUAAAAAAUCUUAUGCAGAAUGGAGCUUACAAGCUAAUACGAGGCAUCAGAAUAAAACAGGUAUCAGCAAAUGAAUAGGUUGCGCAGGGCAAGGCGAGAUAACAAUACAGCACAUCUUAAUCCAUUAACCCAAGGUUUUUUGUUUUACGCUGCAAACUGAACAGAUUACAGACUGUAAACAUGCACAAGAAGGUUUUCCAUGUUUCUUUUCCUUUCUACGCUGUGCUGGGAACACUAUUCAACAGCUGGAGGGCGAUCUUCAUCAGAUGGCUUCUUUCUUUCUUUACGCUCAUUCCAUCUCGUCCAUGCCCACCUCAAAACCAACAAACCACCAAUUGCAUAG